rnacentral:lncRNA from 1 species
CAUGCUCGUGUUCUAUAAAGCUCACACCAAAUCUUAAUCAUAAAGAGUGGGAAUGAGAGAGAGAAAAAAGAAGAAGAAGAAGAAGAAAAUGGGGCUGAAAAACUUCACUGCCAUUUUUCAAAAUCAGACGACCCGUUUCCUUUCAAAGGGUAGCCAAAAAGUUCCCAUACACACCCAUUAGCGAGCUUCUUCUUUACGAAAAAAAAAACUAAAAAAAUUAGAUCAUCAUUUUCAAACCACCUUCUAGCUAGAACUGGAAACAAAAAAACAGUACAGACUCUCUCAUCAGCGCUGUCUCUUUACGCCACCCUCGAGUUACUACUAUCUUGCCCCACGUUGACUCAAGGAACCAUAGCCGCUGCUUCCACAGUACCGUUAACCUGAGGUGUUCAUUACCGGAAUCAUAACACAAGGCAGGCCAGGAGCCCACUCACGUCGUCCAUGUGCAUCUUCAGCGUGCUCGUUUUACAUUCUUGCCUCUGACCUCUCUGGACUUAGCUUUAUUCAAGCACUAGCCACUCAAAAAAAGAGUGAAGAUGAGGUACGGGAUAUCCAGUGGAGCUGUCUCCAUCAUAAUCACUCAAGGUAUAAAGCUUCCACCUAUUCUCAUGUAGUUGUAAUCUUUUUGCAUGUGCAUGCUACUGCAAAGGCAAGCUCCCGUUUUUCCUUUAUGUGCUAUGAAGUUAACAUAUAGUGUUGUAAGGUGUGUGGAUCUUUUAAGUCCUAACCUGGUCACGGGUGUUCUUUCACUUGCUACGGGUACUGAAGGGGAUGGGGUGUGAUUUUUCCUUCAAACGCAUAUGGUCUUGAAAACUUGAUUGCAUGUCCUAAGGUCAUGUUAAGACCUUGCCUAGUUAAUUAAGAAUGCUCUUACCCAAGGUUAAAGUUCAAGAACGGUAUGAGAAGGUGGAAAAAGAUGUUGACAACUAUUGGGGUCAUAGGUUUUCCUUUUUUUUUUUUUGUCUUCAGAAAAUAAAAAUGCAUAGGACUGUCAGGGAGUUUUUCCAUACCAUGCUUGGGCUUCGGAUGUAUGUUUCCUUUACGUACAUGAGAUGAUGGUUACCUUGCUUUACGUACAGAAAUCUCCAAUGACUAAAUAAAAUGAUUUUUGGUUGAAGAAGAAUCGGUAUGUGCAAGGGUUUCUGGUUCAUUUCUUUUUACUGUCCCAUGGCUUUUCGUUAAUGCUAGUACAGCUAUAUUUCUCUUUUCUAAAGUUAAGUAGGUUGAUAUAUAUAGAAAUCGGUUUAUCACGGGUUUAAGAAUAUUAAAGAAAAAAAAAAAAAAAAAGCUUUCAUGGGUCUUCAAGGCACAAACACUCAUAUGACAAAUUUUAAGUUUUCUUUUUCACUAAGGACAUGUGUGGUAAAUAUGACCAAACAUAUUUUUCAUGGCCUUUAUUUUCUUUUCUUAAUUUUUUUUUGUUUUGUCUAACAUAUCUUAGUCUAAUUUUAAUUAUUUUUCAAGUUUUGAAGAGCCAUUUUGCAACUAUAUUUUUGGUUUUCCACGUCAUUUUUUACCUUUUCAUAUUUAAAAACAAGUUUAUUAAAUCCACAGGGAUUUGGCCUAAGUUUUAAAAAUACUAAAAAAAUUAAUUUGUUUAUUUUAAUACAAUGAAUUAUGAGCUUAUAUCUAAAAUGUAUUCUCGAUAUUAAAAGGAACAAAUGCAAAAAUAUGUUUUGGCUCUAGAAUGGCUAGACUUGACCCAUAAAGCCAUGGUUCUCUGUACUAGGGUAGACCUUCUUUAACUAAUAGACAAAUCAAUGAUUAGAUAAAGAAAACAGUGCCUUAGUAAUAAUCAGAAAAAUAAACAAUAAAGCUUAUCUUAGGUAUGAUUACUAAGGGUGAUAAUGUCCAUCCUAUAUACAACUUGUCCCCUUGUCUAGACUCUGAAGACUAGUUAGAGUUUUCAGUGAUCAAAAUACAAGAUAGCAACUCCAAGCAUUUUUUAUUUAUAAAGGACAAGAAGUCCAUGUUCUUUCCACACCACACCAAAGUCCUGAUCUAGGAGGAUGAUCGCAAUGAUACCACAUCCGUGCCACAUUCAACAUUGUAUUUUCCAUGAGUUAUCCUUUCUAUUUUUCAAUUACUUUGAUCCAAAUAAUGUGUUACCCUCUCAACAUUCUUCAAAGUCAACAUGUACUUCUACUAAUUGAUCUAAAUAUGAAUGUGAUGCGAUGUAAAUGAGUAUACAAGAUUAAACAUAUGGAAGAUGGGACUUUUUAGCACUACAAAACAUGUUUGGUGGCCAAAUGCUAUUAUCGACAAAAAAGGGUUUGAUUUUCAAGAGAUAUUUAGUGUAGUGAGGAAGCCUUGCACUAUUUAGACAAUGCUCGAUAUUGGUGAUACUUGAGGUUGGUCGGCUUAUUAGAGGGAUUUCUUCAUUUAGAUGUGUUUAUAACCCAAGCCAGGUUGUUAAAAUCGCGAGUUAUGAGUCAACAUGUAUCUAACGUGCUAAAUCGGACUAAAAACUCAAAAAUAGUAAAAUCAGACUUGUGCAAAAUCAGUAAAAUCGGUAAACUCAGUCCGAUUUUAUGAGUUUACUAAAUUUGUGAUAUGAAUCAAGUCAGGUUCAAAUUUGGCCUUAAAAUAUCUGCUGACUAGUUUUGCGAGAUUGAGCAUAUAUUUCAAACUGUAUAUUGGAUAAAACUGAUAUUUUACAGGAAAAUAUUAGAUACAUAAACAUAUAUUGUGGUAAAUUGUUAGGUCAAAUAGAGUUAGGAAACAUAAUUUUAGAGGGUCAAAGUUAGUAAACUAAUAUUGUCAAAUAUGUCAAACAAGUCCUUCGUGUACUGUUUGGAACAUAUCCAGAGCUACCGGUGGAAUUUUGCUUCAAUUAAAGUUGGGAUAGAAACUAGACAUCUGAAACUUUCCAACUAUAUACGUAGGCCCAAGAAUUCAUCCAAACAAGAGAGAAUGACAUGUUUGAAAUCAGGACUCAAAUCUACCAAGAAUAUGCAAAAAAUAGAAGAUUCAGGUUACAUGGAUGAAUUUUAACAUGAAGACUUUUUUAUUAUUCUAUUUUAUUUAUUUAAUUUUAAAUAAUUAUUUUUAAUUUGAAUUUUUUCUAGCGCAUUAGACAUUGUUUAGGAAUUUGUUUUAUUAUUGAAUUUAUGUUAGUUAAUUACUAAUUUAAACUUAUUAGCUUGCAACCCAAAAGGGGUCUAUCAAGACUUAUUGUGAUAGGAACAACCAGGUUGUCACUAGGUUUAUGUGUGCUUCCUACCUUUCAGUGAUUCCCUUGUAUUGAAAAAUUUUGUUCUGUGACUUUUUAUUUCUCCAUGUCAUUAAUUUAUUGAUUCAUACUAUCUAUCUCUCUCAUUUUAUUUAGAUCGCUCAUUGAUUAUAAUAUUGUUGACUCAUUUUAUUAGAUUUUAAUGUAAUUUAAUUUCUUGACUAAAAUUAUCAAUAUAUAAUUAGUUAAAAAAUUAUUUAUGAUUUUACGAUUUUACGAUCUGAGUUUAUUUUAUAUUUUUCGUGUCGUGUCAAAAAAUAUUUUUGACAACCUUGAACCCAGGCUCUUGACUUUAUUGAUCCACAAUCCCCAAACCAUAUUCGCAAACUAAAACUUUUUUUUUAUAGUUUAAAACAAGCACCUCGUGCAUGUAUUGAUUGCUUAGUGAAUUCUUAGUUUCUCAAUGGAUUUUAUAUUCGUAAAUUUUUAAGUGAACCCAGGUUAUAUUAUCAUGAUAACUAAAAUAAAAUGAGCUAAAUUUAUUUAUAAAAUGAGCACCACACGCUUAGAUUUAAAUUCCAUAGAAAGAUUAGCACCUGAUGACAAGUUAACUCGGGAAACAAAGGUAAUAACAAAGUUUUGAGAUUGAAUUCGACACUAGGUCUACUUAGUAGUUAGUACAUAUAAGUUGAAGGAUUGCUACCUUGACCAAUGAACUGAAAAUAUCUUUAAUUUAUAAUGAAUGGCAUACACCAUACAGUUUUACCAUAUCAACAGCAUGAAAAUUGAUAAUCGAUCCUUUAGGGAUAUUAUUCCAUUUCUUUAUUAAUUAUCAUAAAAACAUUUAUUAAAUGUGUUGUCCUCCAACUCUUUCCAUAAAAAGAAAGAGUUGUGAACCACAACAUACAUUUGAUCAUGGACAAAAGGUAAUCAAAUAGUUGCCUCCACUAGGACAAGUAAACGUGCUCGAUUUAUCAUCAAAAGCAUAACUAUAAGCUUGAGGACACUGCUGCUUGAAAGUCAUCGAAUAUUGGGUAGGAGGACAUGUUUCAGCUGUAUUAUACUCUCCUGUGCAGCAGUACUGCGGCUGGUUAAAUGCCAAACACGCACUCUUGCAGGCAAUCACAGUCCCAUCUGAACCUUUCACUGCUAAACUAGGAUCACAAACAGCAUUCACGUUAGCUGCACAGCUUGUAGAAGGGCAGCCAGUAGAACCUCCUUGCGGGGUUACCGAAAUUGGGAGGUUAAAGCCAUCAACAAGGCUUAUAUCGUAAUAAUCUUUCCCACCAUCACCGCUUAGAGUAAAUUCUGCCAAGGAUGCUGGUGGGAUCGCACCGGCUCCAUUGCAUUCUAUGACACCAGAGCCACAGUCAGCAGUAGCACAAACAAACUUUCCCGAGGCAUCUGUAGAGCAUUGCGUUCUGGCCCACAAGCGGCCAGACCAAUUGACAGGGACACUCAGCGAAGAUGAAGCACCCGUUGCCAAUGUGAAGCCAGUUGAAGAUAAAGACGGACCGCCAGCAGCCGUUAGAGUUCCUGGCCAGACUGUGUAUGGACAGUUGUUUGUGAAGUCGAAAGUCACAGAUUGAGCUCCUGCAUGCGUGCAAGAUUUAUUUUUGUUGAUAUCAAUAAUUAAAUCUUGGUCGAUUCAAAGAUAACAUAAUUCAAUAUUUAAAAUCUUGUAUUAAUUCAGUUAUUUUUCUUUUAAAAAUAUAACAUAACCCAUGUUUUUUUUUAAUAUAUUUUUUUCUUUUUUCUUUUUUAUCUGGAAACUCCCUCCUGGAUAAAUUUAUUGGAUUCACGAAAUCCAUUGAAUAAUGAAAACUAGUUAAUAUUGCAUACGCAAACAGAAAAUAUAUAUGUAGAAUAAUCAAAGUGAAUAAUAUGCAUAAUAGAGUUUUCCAUGCAAGAAUCUAGUAUAUGUAAUAUUGUAAAACUACUUGCCAUAGAGGAAGAUGACGAGGGUGAAGGUAAUUAUAGCAAUAUUGGGCAUACGACUCUCCAUUGCCGAGAUGCGUCGAAUUAAGACCUUUUCAGUAUCUUUCAAGAGAUUUGAGGUAACCAAGAAACACUCUAUAUUUUAAAAAUAUUAUGAAAUGAGCAGACUUAAUAAAUAGUGUAAAAUUUGCAGACUAGUAAACAGAGGAACGUCCUGCUUCUCACGUCAAAUGAAAGCAACACCCAAUUGAAUAUUGAAUGCAACUCUGGUCCAGCAGACGAGCCGUGAUGAAUGUGAGAGUCUUCAAAAUUAAAGAAAAAAAAUUCACCACCUAUUAAUUAAAAACUUUAGAAUUUAAAAAUAGACAUUGGUUAGAGAUUUAGACAUUGAGCUAGUUAAGUCUAAGAAAGAUCAAUAUCACCCUUAUCAUAUCCUUUAAAAUGAAAAGUUACCUCCACAAUGCAUUUAAGAAAAAUUAUUCCAUGCAUAAUAUUAAUUAUCUAAAUUUAUUUCUAAUCUUUUCGUGAUUUAUUUUAAUAAAAAAUUGGCAAUUCAAAAUUUAUUUCUCAUACAGACUAAACUAGAACUAUUUAUCAAGAAUUAUUUGUGCUAAUAAAUAUUAAAGAAACUCGUUAAUGAUAAGUAAAGACUAAACUAGGAUCAAAUUGAUGCUUAAAAUCAUAAUUCUCCAUUAAGUUAUCAAACAAUUCUGAAAAUUUGUGUGGACCCUUCUAAUAUGAUACUUUAACUUGAGUUAAAAUUUCAGAGUUUUUGAAGAAAGUCAGAAAUUUGAUGAAAAAUCACAAUUUUACCAGUUUUACGUUAUUGGGCGUAAUUUUCAAUCCGACCAUCCAAUUGAGCUGAAAUUUUACAAGGAAUCUUCAAAUAUAUUGAAUAAAAUCUGAUUAAAAUCUGAUUAAAUGAACGGAGCUUGGUAGUGCUAACAAAAAAAAGGACCGUCAAAUAAAAGCAAAACAACUCAUUAAGGGCAAAAUAGUUAUUUGCCAUUAAAAAUAAAACAAAUUAUCUCUUCCUUCUUUUUAUAUGUUGCCGACUGAGCAGAAGCAAAAUAGAAAAAGAAAGAAAAGAAAAGACGAGAGAGAAAGAGAGAAACGUAAGGGAAAACAUAAAAAGAAAAAUCAAAGGAAAAAAAAUAAGUGAGAGAAUAACCUUGUACACUUAUAAAGUCCGACUUAUAAAACACUAAUCUUAGAAAGAAUCAAGUGAAGGAAUGAGGAAUUGAGAAAGGGAAAAAAAUUUAAUUAUUUUUUUUCCAGUUGAUAUGAGAUUGUUAUUUUAUCCUGGUUAAGGGGUUGUUACAAUAUCGAUUCAGAUUCGAUUAUAAAUGAAUUAUAUUCCACAAAACAUCGAAGGAUAUAACUUCAAUAGUAGGUUUAUUUUUACUUUCACUUCAAUUUUAUGUACUUUUAAAUUUAUUUUUUAAUAUUUUGGAUAAUGUAUUUCAAUUAAAAUUUUACUGUUAACUUAAAAAAUUCAUAUACAUAAGUUAAUAAUUGAUCUUAAAAAAAUUUAUAUAUUUAUUUAAUAACCCAGGACGGGAAAAAUUCUUGACUCUGCUGGUAACAACCAUCUUCCACACGCACCGUCUCAUCCACGAUGACAUUUGACAAUGAAUGUCAAAUUAUAAAAUUAUAAUUUAUUUAUAUUUAUAAAAAAUUAAAUUAUAAAAUUGGGUCUAUCACCUAAAGUGCGCAGAGACCGUCCAUGCACUGACCUGCACUCAUCCAAAAAUUGAAUAUUGAAUGUAACUCUGGUCCAGCAGACGAGCCGUGAUGAAUGUGACCCUCUUCAAAAUUAUCACACCGUGAUGAAUGCGAGAUUCUUCAAAAUUAAAGGAAAAAAAAGUCACCACCUAUUAAUUAAAAAAUUUAGAAUUUAAAAAUAGACAUUGGUUAGAGAUUUAGACAUUGGUUAGAGAUUUAGACAUUGUGCUAGUUAAGUAUAAGAAAGAUCAAUAUCACCCUUAUCAUAUCCUUUAAAAUAAAAAGUUACCUCCACAAUGCAUUUAAGAAAAAUUAUUCGGUGCAUAAUAUUAAUUAUCUAAAUUUAUUUCUAAUGUUUUUCGUGAUUUAUUUUAAUAAAAAAUUGGCAAUUCAAAAUUUAUUUCGCAUACAUAUUAUUAAAUAAAUCAAGAAUUAUCUAUGCUAAUAAAUAUAAAAGAAACCCGUUAAUGAUAAAUAAAGACUAAACUAGGAAAAUUAAGAGAUAAAUAUAAACCAAAAUAUUUGAUAUCGCAACACGAAGCAUGUACCUAGUUGUGUUUAAUAAUUUAUUUAUUUGAAUAAAUUUUGUAUUUAAUAAAAUGAUUAUCCGUGCCAAUAAAAUGAUGUCUACCCAAUACAUUUUUUUUUGUAUUUCAAAAUAUUAUGAAAUGAGCAUCACAUGCUUAUAUUUAUUAAAUUAUAUUAUAUUAUAUUAAAUGAAAAAAAUAUUUAUAAAAAAAAUAAAUUAAAAAACAAAUAAAAAUACUCGAGAUAUCCCAAGUCCUUUUCAAAAUAAGUGAAAAAUCCUAUAGAAAAAACAAAAAAAAAACCUUCUAGAGGAUGAUAUUUUAAAAAAAAAUUCAAAUUAAAAAAUGAUCUCAAAUAAAAAAAUAAGAAUUAAAAGAACAGGGACAAAAUUUGGAAGAUGAAAAAACCAAAGGGAAUGAAAUUGUCAAAGAAUUUCAAUUUUAUAAAUUAUUCCAAACAAAACAAGUAAUAAUCAAAAGAACAGGGACCAAUUAAUAUGAAGGAAUAACAAAUUGAAGGCGUGCUUUGAAAUUUUGAAGGGGCACACACGAAAAUCAAGGGGAGAGUGCGAAGAAAAAGAAAAAGAAAAGCUUGUCGGCACCAAACCGAACAACUAUUUGCCACACACGUUGCCUCAUCCACAACGGCCUUUGUUCAACGAAUGACCCUACACCCGCCACCUGAAGUGCGCGGAGACCGCCCAUACACUCACCUGCACUCAUCAACUAUUUUUUUAAUAUUAUUUAUAUUUAUUAAAUUAUAAAUUUGGAAAUAAAACACCCUGAUAAAAAAAACCCAAUGAAAUAUACAAAUGCCCUUGGUUUGAACCACAAGUGACUAACUUAGAUAUCUCAAUUUAUGAGAAAGCAGAAUAGUAAACAGGCAAUUAGAGGAACGCCUUGCUUCUCACGUCAAAUGAAAGCAACACCCAAUUGACUAACGAAAGCACUAAAUAUCCCAAUUAAUGAGAAAGCAGACUAGUAAACAGCCUAUUAGAGGAAUUGAAACUAUAUAUCCCAUAUCCCAGUUAAUGAGAAAGCAGACUAAUAAACAGCCUAUUAGAGGAAUUGAAUGAAAGCAAUUGAAUGCAGGAAGAGGGCCAGACUAGUAAACAGCCAACAGUGGGAGUUCUCCUCUAGCACAUAGUUAUUAAACCCGGCCCAGGGGUUGACCCGGCCAAGGGGCCGGGUCCCAGGUUUCAUGGGUCGACCCAGGUCGACCGGGGUCAACCCGGAAAAAUUUAAAAAAAUUAAAGUUUUAAUAUUUUAUAUGAAAAAAUUAAGAAAAAAUCCAUGUAAAUAUAUGUUAUACAUAUUGUAAAUAAUGAAGUUUAAAAGAAUAUUUUAAAAAAAAUUUAUUCUGCAUUAAAAAUAUAUUAUGUUAAGUUUUUAAAUUGAAGUAUUUAAACCAAAAAAUUUUCUUAUCCCACAUUGAAAAAACAUAGUUUUUUUCUUAUGAACAUAGAGUAUAUAUACUAAUGAGUUUCAAAUCCCACAUUGAAAAAAGAUAACUUUUUUCUUGGGAACAUAGAGUAUAUAUACUAAUGUGUUUCAAAUGUCACAUUGAAAAAAGAUAAUUUUUUUCUUGGGAACAUAGAAUAUAUAUAUUAAUGGGUUUCAAAUCCCACAUUGAAAAAACAUAGUUUUUUUCUUGUGAAUAUUGAGUAUAUAUACUAAUGGGUUUCAAAUGCCACAUUGAAAAAAGAUAACUUUUUUCUUGGGAACAUAGAAUAUAUAUACUAAUGGGUUUCAAAUCCCACAUUGAAAAAACAUAGUUUUUUUCUUGUGAAUAUUGAGUAUAUAUACUAAUGGGUUUCAAAUCUCACAUUAAAAAGAUACUAUGUUAUCAUUUUAAGUUUUUUAUCCCACAUUGAAAAAACAUAAUUGUUUUCUUGGAAACACAAAGUAUAUAUACCAAUGGGUUUCAAAUCUCACAUUUGAAAAAAAAAACACUGGUUCUCACCCGGGUCGCCCAGGUCACGGGUUGACCCACUAGGUUUGAACGGGUCGUUGCACUGACCGGUCUUUUGACAAACUUGGACCGGUCCAACUCCCGGGUCGGCCGGGUCCCGGGUCAACCGGCAAGGUCAGGCCGGGUUUAAUAACACUGCUCCAGCAUGUGAAACCGAGGAGCCGUGAGGAAUGCGACACUCUUCCAAAUUAUCCCUUAAAAAUUUGGCAUUAAUCUUUAAAAAUAUAUGAUUUCAUCGAUUCAGGAAAAAUUGGACAUUAGUCCCUAAAAUAAAUAAUUUCAUCAAUUUUUGAAAAAUAUGAUAUUAAUUCUUAAAAAUAGGAGAUUUCAUUGAUUUAGAAAAAACAAUUAACAUUAAUCCCUAAAACUAGGUGAUUUUCUCGAGAUAUAUGUGUUUGUGUGUGUGUGUGUGUGUAUAGAACAUUUAUAUAUAUUUUAAUCCAAUAUAAUAUAUACAUAUCUCAAUAUUGAUAUAACACACACACACACACACACACAUACAUGUAUAAUAUUAUUCAUUUUAUCAUUUAUUACAUGUAUACAUAUUUCAAAUAUAUCUAUUACUAUUUUAUUUUUUGUUGAAUAUUAAAUAACAGUAGAACAAUGGUUACCAAUAUAGAUAUACUCGAAAUCUAAUGAAUAAAGUAUGAAUAUCUGAAUUUUUUACUUGAUGAAUAAUAGGUAGGGUAUAUAUAUAAAAAAACUUAACAUGUAGAUAUCCAUUGGGAUUAUACAUAAUUUCAAUAUAUAAAAUCAAUGCAUUAAUUCAUUUAUUUUUCUUUUACAAAGAUAAAAUGAUGAUAAAUGCAAAAUAUAUAUAUGUUUUUAAUUCUUUUACAUUAUGCUUUUAAUGUGUUUUAAUCUUAUUUGAGCUGAUUGAAAGUAAUUUUAUGAGUUUGGCAUGCCUAAAAGACUUGGUGAAUUAAUUGCUAAAAGAUAAAAAAAUUCUGCAUUUUAUGUUUCGAACCUUGGUAUUUCUGACAUCUUUUUCACCAUGUUGGAGUUACAGAAUAGGAACGUGGCUUAAUCAAAGUUGAACUACACAUAUCCAGCUUUCCAGGAAGGUAUUAUGGGAAGAAAUCUGAUCUUAUUUGAACAUCUAAUCAGACCUGCAAAAUCGAGCCAGAAUUCUAUUUGUAGCAGAAUUCUCUGUUUUCACAUUAGAUAUUCAAAUAGAUAUAUCUUGAGUUUCAGAUAUCGCAAUCAGACUAUUCAAAAGCCCAAAUUCAUCUACACAUCCAGGGAUACAACUUUUAUGAAGGACUCCAGAUCUGAUAAAAUUAUUUUCAAGAUGAAAAUCCUGAUGCAAGCUAGAUGACAAGUUUUGUCUCUUGAUCUGAUGAGAAACUAACAAGAUGAGAGUCCUAUCUUUUAAAGAAAAUCUGAUGGGAUCAGAUAGAUAUUCUUUAUAGCUUCUUACCUCCUAGUCUUUAGCCUUGAUAUUUUAUCAUGAAGGCUGCCUCUUAGGAUCAACGUGACAAAGCAACGAGGAAAAAAGCGUUCUUUGCCAAAAAAAAAUUUAAAGAGUUCAUCUUCGCUGCUGGAAUUUUCAAAGACCAUGAGCAACUAAUUCUCAAUUUCGGUUCAAGGGGAAUAGACACCUUCUCCAUUAUCAAGUUGUGAGAAAUAACAUUAUCAUUGUAAUUAUUUCAGACUCAAGUACUUAUUUUUUUUUUUAAGAAUUAUGUUAUUGAUUUAUGUUCAAGAUAAUUGAAUUGUUUUGAGAUGACAUGUAUGAUUUCUAGUUUCUUUCAAUUCAUAAUUGUUGUUGGGGACUAAAGUUAGAAGCAAAAGAAUUAAUUUGAUUGUUGCAACUCUCAUCUUAAAUUAUUUGGAAAGAAUAAGUUAAGUUAAAUUGUCAAGCUUUUGAAGGAUUGUUUAGUAUAAAUCUGACAGCCUUUUCUCUUAAGGCUAUUGUCAAAUGAAUGAGAAUUGCUUUUCAAUAUUACAUUUGUUUGAUAGUAAGAAAUUGAUUAAAAAGCUUUGUCUAAUUAAUUUACUGAUAGUCUCAUCGAUUCCUCGUAGUUUUAAGGAAUAUCGAAUUUAUUUGCUUGAUUUGAAAGAACAUUUAUUUUUACUUUGAUGAUUAAUAAAUUUAUAGGAAUGGAUGUAUGGACCCUUUGAACUGAGUUAAUAACAUAUCAAUUUAUCAAUUUUAUUUUUAGAAUUUUGUUUCUUUAAUUAUUCAAAUCCUCCACGUUUUAUUUAUUUUAGUUUCUUGUAGGAAGAUUAAAUAAAAUUUUCUUUAAAGAUGAAAACAGAAGAUUGGUCAAAAGGAAGGUAUGUUUUUUCAAAGAAGAACAAGGAAAUAAAAUAUUCUCAUUUGACUGUAAUUUUAUUUCAUAUUUUUUUCCUAAAUUGCUAGAUAUACUUAAAAUUUCCGAAUGAGGCUUCUGCGGAUUUUACAUGAACUGGCUAACUACUCCAACUUCAUAUGUAAUAUCUGAUCGUGUCAAGAUUAAGUAGAUAAGACUACCUAGUAUUCGUCAAUACAUAAUUGUAUUGCUUCAAACCUUUUAGCCUAUAUAAAGAUCAUUAUAUGUUUGUAGUAAGUUAUUUGAAUAAAAUUAAAUUAUACAUGUUUUUUUUUACAACUCAUAUACAAUAAAUUAAAACAAAUAUUAUAUAUUGUUAUAUUAAUUUUGGCCCCCCCUAACAAAUAAUCCUAGCUCCGCCCCUGCUUAGUUGUGCAUAAUUUUCCUUGAACCUUUAUCAGGGUAGAGACAGACUUGCGAUUGAGGAUUCCAUAUCUUUAUAGUAAAUCUUUUUGUAUACUGAUGUUGGCUAGAAAUAAAUGACUUUGUUCACUCAACUUCAAGUCCAAGGAAAUGUUUAAGCUCUCCAAGCUCCUUCAUUUGAAAACGGGCUGCUGAAUUUUCUCUUAUUUGACCGAUUUCCUUGGUAUCGUCUCUAGUAACAAUGAGAUCAUCUAUAUAGACCAUUAUUACUGCUAUUUCUCCUCGAUUUUUAACAGACAAGUUUGAAUCUGAUGAAGCCAUUGAGUAGCCAUUUUGUAUUAGAAACUCUUACCAUACCACGUCAUUUUAGCUUGUUUUAACCCACACAGGGCUUUCUUUAGCUUGCAUACUUGUUCAGGAUAAAUUUUCCUUUGAAACCCUUGCGGCUGCUCUAUAUAUAUAUAUAUAUAUAUAUAUAAUAGAGAUAUUAUUGAUGGAAUCAAUUUACCGUUAAGGCUAUCGUAAACUAGAAUUCAAAAUAUUAAGAGAUGUACAAAAAGAAGUAUUGACAAGCUCCUAAACCAAUAACACUUUACUUAUUAGUUCAUGAUAAAAUGUUGUCAGCGCCUCUAAUUAAAUCAUUUUUUGUGUAUGUAAAGUUAAUGUUGCAAGCCUUUAACCAAAGUGUAAGAUGGUGGAGAAUGAGUUGAAACUGUGCAUUCUAAUCUGGCAUCUUAUCCUUAAAUAUGAGCUUGUUCCUUGCAAUCCAAAUACCCCAUAAAAUGCCAUACGAUAGCAUCAUUAAGGCACUUCGCUGAAACUUGCCUUUUGCCAUGUCUCGCCAUUGGCUGAUGAUUUGAUCUAUUCUAUUCAGCAUGCACCUAGAAAUGCCAAACCAAUUAUGAAAUUGUUGCCACAGUCUCCACGUGUGGUAGCAAUGGAGGAAAAGAUGAUUAUCAUGUGUUGGGAAAACUAGGGACAACUAACCGGAUCAAUUCAGCGGAAUACAAUUCACAAUUUACAAGUCCCAAUCCUUUUUCCCUCUCUGUGCAGUAAAAACAGAAUCAAACAAUGAAUAAAUAUAAUGCAACAAUCACACAAAUCAACACCAAGAUUUUUACGUGGAAAACCCGAUACGGGAAAAACCACGGGACCGGAGUCCACCUAAAAACUUCCACUAUCACAAAUAAUGGGUUCACAAUUGUUCUUCCUCAGAUUCAACUAAGGGCUACAACAAAUAUAUCAUCAAGAACAACUUAUUCUCGGAUUACAACAAGAUUAAAGAGAGUAAUGUUAGAGAAAAGCUCACAACACUGACAGCCCCGUUUUCUGUCAAAACGAUCAGCUUUCACACCACCAAUAUUCAAUCCAACCGUUCAGAAUGAAGAGUAACGUGUCUAGAAGCUGCUGUCCAAAUCUCAGCCCGAUCCAACGGUGAACGAACUGGAAAUAAAAGAAAGAAGACAGACUGCUCUGCUGCCUCCUCUUCUUUCUUUCUCUCGGUUUUUCUCUGCUCUCUUGUUCAAAUUUUGCUACUACCUCUACAGUGGUAGUUUCAUUUUAAUUUAAACCAAAGAGGCAGCCAGCUGCCUCCUUAAUUAAUGUGGUGGUCCCCCCAUCACAUGGUGCGGGACCACACAACAAAUCUCCCCCUCACGCACCAUGUGAGGAAUUCGCCAUACUGGCGAUCAACAUGUAAGCUUCAAUUUAGGAGGCUCUGACAAGCCUGCCUCCCUUCUGCAAAACUCAAACUUCUCUCUCGGUAGAGGUUUGGUCAUCAUGUCUGACACGUUGUUAUCAGUAUGGAUCUUCUCAACAACAAAUGACUUCAUCUCCAUAGCAUCUCGAAUCCAUUGAUAUCUAACCUCAAUGUGCUUUGAUCGAGAGUGAAAAGUAGGAUGCUUACUGAGAUGGAUUGCACUUUGACUAUCACAGUGCAACACAAAGUUCUCUUGAACUAGGCCAAGUUCAUGUAGGAACUUCUUCAUCCAUAACAACUCUUUGCCCCCUUCAGUAAAAGCAAUAUAUUCAGCCUCUGUAGUGGAUAAUGCCACACAUUUUUGCAACCUUGAUUGCCAUGAGACUGCUCCCCCUGCAAACUUCAUCAAGUAUCCUGAUGUGGACUUUCUAGAAUCAACAUCACCAGCCAUAUCUGCAUCUGUGUAUCCAUCCAACACAGGUUUAUCAUUACCAAAACAUAAGCUGAAACUAGAAGUACCUUUGAGAUACCUGAGUAUCCAUUUCACUGCUGACCAGUGUUCUUUACCAGGAUUGGAGAGGAACCGACUGACCACACCAACUGCAUGAGCUAUAUCCGGCCUUGUGCAAACCAUGACAUACAUCAAGCUACCAACUACAGAUGCAUAAGGAACCUUUUUCAUCUCAUCUCUUUCUUCAUCACUUGAAGGACACUGCUUAGAACUUAGUUUAAAGUGGCUUGCAAGUGGAGAACAAACCGGUUUGGAUUGCUCAUGUUGAAUCUCUCAAGUACCUUUGGAACAUAUCUCUCCUGAGAUAGCCAAAGUUUCUCCUUCUUCCUGUCACGUGUGAUCUUCAUGCCAAGAAUCUGUUUUGUCGGUCCUAAGUCUUUCAUUGCAAAAGACUUGCUUAACUCUUCCUUCAAAAUCUGAAUCUUCUUAGCAUCAUGGCCAACAAUCAACAUAUCAUCCACAUACAAUAGGAGAAUAAUAAAGUUUCCAUCUGGAAACCUUUUCAUAAAUACACAAUGAUCAGAAGUGGUCCUGUCAUAACCAUGAUCCACCAUAAAAGAAUCAAACUUCUUAUACCACUACCUUGGAGCUUGCUUUAACCCAUAUAGGCUCUUUUUCAACUUGCAAACUAGCUGCUAUUUACCUUUUGCUUCAAACCCUUCAGGCUGUUCCAUGUAGAUCUCUUCAUCUAAAUCACCAUGGAGAAAGGCAGUUUUCACAUCAAGUUGCUCAACUUCAAGAUUCAAACUAGCAGCUAAGCCAAGCACAACUCGGAUUGAAGACAUCUUGACCACUGGUGAAAAGAUUUCUUCAAAAUCAAUACCCUUCUUCUGACCGAAGCCUUUCACAACCAAUCUUGCCUUGUACCUUGGUUGUGAGCAAUGUUUAUCAAUUUUCAACCUGAACACCCAUUUGUUCUUGAGUGCUCUCUUACCUUUAGGAAGCUUCACUAACUCAAAAGUAUGGUUUUCAUGCAAGGAUUUCAUCUCUUCUUGCAUUGCUUGCAACCACUCACUUUUCUUCUCAUGUGACAUGGCUUCAUCAAAGCAUUCUGGCUCUCCCCCAUCAGUAACUUGCACAUACUCAUGAGGAGAAUAUUUGGUGGAAGGUUGGCGAGGUCUGGUUGACCUCCUUAAUUGUGGCUCAUCUGGAGCUUCCUGUAUAACCUGCUCAGGAAUAACAUCAAUAUCAUCAUUAGUUGAUUCAUGAUCACCAACUAAUGGCUCAAUAAGAAAACCACCAUUAUCAUCAUUUUGCAAAUCUCCCCCAUGAUUAGCAAGCAUCAAAGGUAACUGUGGAGUAGGUCUUGGAUUUGAAUUAGAUGGAAUAAAAGUAGUAGACUCUGUUUUCUCCUUCAGUUCAAAGUCUUCAAUGGUUUGAUCUUCAAAGAAGAUAACAUCUCUGCUUCUCACAAUUUUCUUCUCCUUUGGAUCCCACAACCUAUAGCCAAACUCAUCAUCUUCAGAUCCCAAGAAAAUACACUGCUUUGUCUUGCUGUCAAGCUUGGACCUUUCAUCCCUUGGAACAUGUACAAAUGCUCUGCAUCCAAACACUCUCAAGUGUGCAUAGGAAACAUCCUUUCCUUUCCAAACUCUAUCUGGAACAUUAAACUCAAGAGGAACUGAUGGAGAAAGGUUGAUCAUGGCAACUGCAGUCUUCAUUGCCUCACCCCAAAAGGACUUAGGCAGCUUUGCAUGAGAGAGUAUACAUCUAAUUCUUUCAACAAUGGUUCUGUUCAUUCUCUCAGCCACUCCAUUCUGCUGUGGAGUCUUAGGAACUGUCUUCUCCAACUUGAUACCCUGUUCCCUGCAGUACUUAUCAAAAGGACCUCUGUAUUCACCACCAUUGUCUGCUCGAACACAUUUAAGCUUUCUACCAGUUUCUCUUUCAACUCUGGCAUGGAAAUCCUUAAAGACAUCAAGCACCUGAUCUUUGGAUUUCAAACAAGUGGCCCAAAUCUUCCUGGAGUGAUCAUCAAUAAAACUAACAAAGUACAAUGCACCUCCAAGAGACUUAUCAAUCAUAGAGCAAACAUCAGUAUGAACUAAAUCAAGAACAUGUGACCUUCUAUGUGAAGGUGAUCUUUGAAAUGCAACUCUAUGUUGUUUACCAACUAAACAAUGAGUACAUGUGUUCAAGUUCAUACCUUUCAAUGGAAGGUAGUUCUUCUUGGCAAGGAUGCCAAGGCCUUUCUCACUCAAAUGUCCAAGCCGCUUAUGCCAUAGAUCAGUAGAGCAAUCUUCAAUUGCAUUCACCUCCCCUUUGAUCACCUUGGCUUGUGACAUGUAGAGACCCAUCUUCUUCCCUUUAGCAACAAUUAGGGAAUUUCUGGAGAGCUUCCAUUUACCAUCUCCAAAGUAACUAUGAUAGCCUUCUUCAUCAAGAGUACCUGUAGAGAUUAAAUGUAGGCGCAUAUCAGGCACAUGCCUAACAUCUUUGAGUAGCAACUUGCACCCAGUAUUGGUUUCCAACCAAAUAUCUCCAAUGCCCACAACACUAGCCAUCCCUUGAUUUCCCAUCCUAACUUGACCAAAGUCACCAGCAGUGUAGGAUGUGUAAAAAUCACGUCGGGGUGUAACAUGGUAAGAAGUUGCUGAAUCUGCAACCCAGGUGGUAUCUUGACAUGCAAGAUUAACACAGCCAUCAUCACACACAAUGGCAACAUCACCAUCAGAUACAACUGCAGCUGUACCAUUGUCUUCAUUCUUGUCUUCAUCUCUACCCUUUUUAUCUCUUUUAUACUUUCUGCAAUCUUUUUGCAUAUGUCCAGGCUUGUCACAAUAAUAACACUUGAAACCCUUUCUUGACUGAGAUCUUCCUCUUGGCUUCCAUUUGCCUUUUCUAUUGCUGAAUUCUCUAUCUUGCUUGUCAUGAGAGAACCUGCUUUGACUUCUCCCUCGACUUUCUGUAACAAGUGCAUGAGACUCGGAAAUGCUUGUCCCUUUCCUCCUCUUCUCUUCAUUGAGGAUACAAUCCUUCACUGUUUUCAAAGUGUGACCUCCACUACCACUGAGCUGAGAUGUACUCCCUCAUAUCCAGCAAGCAUGAUGAAGAUGUUGUGGACAAGGAAAAUAGGCAUGGAUAAAGAUCUUUUAACAUCCCACCACAUAACCAUUUGUCUGUCUAGAAAUGGAUGUGUCUGCCAUUACCAACCCGAUACCAACAAUUGUUCUUCAAAGCCUCUCCAUGUACAGAGUUUGUGCUGUUGAGAGAAUUUAUGGAUUGCCAUGUUUCUGAAAGAGGUGGAUGAAGAGUUGAUAGGCCAUUAGUGAAGGAAGCUUGAUACUUUUUACUGAUAAGCUCUUGCCAGCCUCCUAGAUUAUUAUCUCGUAGCCUUCAUAGCCAUUUAAAUAGCAACGCCUUGUUCUUGCCUUCUAGUGAACCAAUGUCUAAACCUUCUCUAUUCUUUCCCCUGACCACUAUCUGCCAUGCAACUUUAUAAAUUUUCUGAUCUUUUGAAUCCCCACACCAUAAGAAUCUCCUCUUAAUUGAAGUAAUGACCUUAGCAACUCUCUUUGGCAUAAGAAACAAAGACAUGUGAUAUAAGGGGAGGGUGGAUAACACUAUUUUAAUAAGACACAUUCUUCUUGCCAUACUUAAUAAGCAUCCUUUCAACAGGCAUAGUCUUGUAUGAAUGCUAUUUAUUAUAGGUUUCUAAGUGGAGAGUUAUUUCGGAUUUGCUCCCAAGUAAAGUCCCAUUUGCAAUAUAUUGCAUUUUUCAUUCCUGUCGUAUAUUCAUCAUCUAAAUUGAUUCCAACCAGUGAAUUUUUAUGGAAGUUGACUUUCAGACCUGAAGCCAACUCAAACCACCUCAAAUUCCUUUUAGCGGUUGAUAUCGAAUGGAAGUCGUUAGGACUAAACACUAAGGUAUCAUCUACAUAUUGCAAAUGACUCAAAUGCAUGCCAUUUCCACAAUUAAUUCUUUUACACAAGCCAUAAUUUGAAGCUCUCUUGAACAGAACUGAUAACCCUUCCACAGCUAUGUCAAAAAGAAAAGGCGAUAGUGGGUUGCCUUGACAUAGACCACGGUGGACUCCAAACUCCAUGCUUGGUGAACCAUUAAUAAGAAUUGAUAACUUAAAUCCCAUAAUGCAUUCAUGGAUUAGAGAAAUCAACCUCUGCUCAAAGCCCAUAUACGACAUCAUUUCCUCUAGAUACUCCAUAUUAUAGAAUGUGUGUGUGUGUGUGUGUGUGUAUAUAUAAGAAAUAUUAUGGGCACUAUUCUAGUGUUGUAAUCUCUACCUUUACUAUUAUAAAUUGCCCUACACAUAUAAAUAGAAAAUGAUUGGAUAACUAAUAGGUUAAGCCUCCUACUUCUUCUCAACUCUCCCAAACAACUUAUUCAAAAGCCUUAAGAAAGUCCACUUUCAUAACAAAACCAUGCUGCCCACUUUUCUUAACACUGAGUACAACUCCAUUUUCCAUCAUGAAACCAUCUAAAACCUACCAGAGAUGAAAGUUGUCUGGUUAGCACUAAUAAUGCUAGGCAUAACCUGUCUCAAUCUGUUGGAUAACAAUUUUUCAAUAAUUUUGUACAAGUCAUGCACUAAACUUAUCGGCCUAUACUCUGAAAACUUAGUAGGCAGUUUAGUCUUUGGGACCAAAGCUACAUGAGAGACAUUAACCCCCUUUAGAAAUUUUCCAAGCCUGAAAAAUUCAUGUACAAUGUAAAAAAUAUCAUCCCUAUCAGAUGCCAUGCUAUCUUGUAGAAGGUGAACGUAAACCCGUCAGGUCCUAAAGCUUUGGUCCCAUCACAACUCCAAAUUGCUUGCUUGACCUCUUCGAUAGUUACCUCUUAUUCUAGUUGUUGAACUUGUUAUGUGAAGAGUUUAGUGAACCCAAGUGGUCUCAUUGUAGCUCUAUCAGUAGUGUCAUUAGUGAACAGACUUGAGAAGGAUGACGUUGUCGCCUCCUUAAUGUCUGCUGGAGAGGUAUGUAGUUUAUCAUUAUAUCUGAUUUGAUUAAUAAAGUUUCUGCCUUUUCGAGUCUUAGCUGUCAAGUGGAAGAAUUUUGUGUUUUUACCCCUAAGCUUGCACACCAGGUCUAUCGUGAUUUUUUAUGCCAGAUUGAUUCCACACACUUGCAUCCCACUGCUUGGAUCGUAAUGUUUGUAGCUCAGAAAUUUCAUCAUUGUUAAGUUGUAUAUCCUCUGUUAUGUUCUCAAUGGUCUGGAUUUCAUGCUGAAGAUGUAGCAGUUUUAAGUCUUGAUUGUCGAACUCUUGGUUGUUCUAAAUUCUGAGUUUUGUAGCCAUAAAUGCCAUCUUUUUAACUAAUUGAACUCUCCCAUCAAACUUAAUGUCAUACCUGAACAUCACGGUGAUCGAUCAAAAAUAUUUUCUAAUGAAAAAAAAAAGAACAGAUAUCUAACAUCUUGUUCUUUUGGGGAAAAUGGUCUAGUUUAAGAAGUCGUCACCUAAUAUUAUGAUCACUAUGAACUUUAAUUAGUCAACAAAGAUUUUUUGGUACGGGACUAGUUACGCGAAAGGAAAUAUAUUAUUACGUCUUAAGCGUUCUACUUAAGGUAAGCCGCAUUACUGGUUUUGUUUUAAAUUGCUAAAGGUUUGUUUUUGUUCUGUUCUUAUGGUCUUCCUAUGAUAUUCCUGACUCUGACGUCAAUGAAUAUUCGCCUAUGAAUAUUUUCAACUUUGGUGUUGGUAAAUAUUGCGUAACCCAAAAAAUACGGUAUUCUUGACUCUAACACCAGUAAAUAAAUUCACAAAAUUCUGCAUUAAAAGAAACAGAAAUUAUUUUUUUUCUUUUUUAUCAUUUUUUUUGUUAUUUAUGUAGCCUGGUCUCAAAACUUAAAAAGGGGUCGGGUCACUGGUCCAAACCAGUGACCCGGCUGGCCACUGUUGCAUGCAUGUGUGAAUGGUUCACGCAUGCAUGCAACAGUAACCAGUUAAUUAUUUUAGCAAGCAAGGAAGGAAACUUACUUGGGCGUGCUGCUGCUGGAGCCGAAGUCAAGGGAGACGGUUGGGCGCUGCUCACGAUUGUCAAUCCAACAUGCUGCUCAUGAUGAAGUUGGGGUGUUGUCACGGAGGAGAUCUUCCAAACUGUUGCGGCACUUGAAGAUGAAGAUGACGAUGAUGGAGGGCUGGCCUACUGAAACCAUCUUCUUCUCCUCUGUUUUCCUUUCGUUCUUCCCUUGGUCUUCUUUCUGUGCUCUCCUUGUCUGUACUGUGCUCGUCCGUUUUCCUUCUCUCUCACUGGUUCUUUUUAUGCUUGUGCUGAGGACGUACGGAUGUCUACAACCGUGGCUGAAGAGAAACAACUGUUGUUGCUCACGGUGGUUGCUGCUCAAGUCACUGAAAUUCGUGUUGCCACUACUGAGAAGAGAAGGCUGCUGCUGGAAAUGCAAGGGUGUAGCUGAUGCUGAUGGCUGUUGUUUUAGGCGAGGAGGAAAGGAAAGACAGUAACUACUAGAAAAUUGAUAAAUACAAACAAAAAUUUUGAGGGAAUAACAGUGGGGAAAAAAAUUAAAACAAAGAAAAAAAAAUGAUGACGUGUUAUUUUUACUAACGGAAUUACCAAUGGAAUAAAUCUCGUCGGUAAAUUUUGUUGGUAAAAUCGUUGGUAAACUGUAAACACUAUUCAUCAUGUCAAUUACAAAGGGAAUCAUCGACGGAAACUUCCAUCGGUGGUAUUUUACAGGAGAGCUCUAGAACUAUUCACUUCCCAAUUGCACUGUUAAAUAUUAUUCUUUACAGACAAAAUCACCGACGGAUUGAAAAGUUAUCGGUGUUAUAUGACGGUUUUCUAAAAAAUCUAGCUUAAAUUAAAUAUUACCAGACGGAUUUUUUUUUAAUUGGUAUACUUUAUGAAUUUUGUUUCUCUCUUAUUAUCUUCACUUGCAACUACAUUAAGGUAAAAAACAAUUUCUUCUUUUUUCGUGUUUUUUUCACAAUAUUUGUUUUUUAUUUUAUUUUAAUUGUUUUUGUUCGUAAUAAUUGUUUGAAUAUUAUUGUAGGAUUUCUUUUUUCAUAUGAGAUCAAUUUUCAGUUGAUUUAUUUAUAGGAUUUUUAAAAAAAAAUUCAUAUGAAUUUUUUUAGUUGAAUUUAUUUGUUUGUGUUGUUUAUUUGUUGCAAAUUUGUUUGAGUUGAUUUUCUUCUUUUUUUCCAAGCAUUUUGAGUAUUAUAGAGUUUUGAUUAAUAUUAAUUUAAUUAUUUUAUAGUUUUGUAAAAUAAAUUUUUAAAAAAUAUUUUUAAAUAAUUACCGACGGAAUUAUAUACAGUAUUUUUCCGAGGGAAUUACCGACGGAAUGAAGUGGGUAAAAAUUUUUUUGCUUGUUUUUUCCAUCAGUAAAUCCAUCGGUAAUAAUAUUUUUUUAUUACCAACGGACUUACCGACAAACAAAAAAUUACUGACGGAGCAUUUCCGUCGGUGAUUUUGUUGGUAAAUUAAUUACCAACGGAAUAGUAGUGCAAAUACCGACGGAAAAUUUCAUCAAUAAAUUUAAAGAUUGUUUUAGUGGGUCCCCUCUGAUGUUGCUAUUGGCUUGCAUUUAAUUUAUCCCGGUUGCUGGAGUUGUUGAUGACGUUGUUGCUAAUCUUGACUGCAACCAACAUUGGGGAUGGAGCUCACAGUUGGAGGCAACGCUAUUGAUGGCUGAGGAUGGAGUCCUGCUGUUGUCAACAUGAACUAGCUUUACUGCCGUAUUUCUCAUAAAGGGGAGCCAACCUUGAGGGAUAGGGAUGAUGCUGUUGCUGUGGCGCAGAGAAGAAGUUCCUGCUGGACUGGAGGGAAAGAGGAGACGAAGGCCUCUCCUGCAACACCGGAUGAAAGCCUAUAUGGUGGCUAGUAUAGGGUUCGCCGCUACCUCUUCUCUUUCUUUUUUAUGUUUCUCUCUUUAAGGGUUUCUGAUAAUAGCCUCUCAUUAAGUUUGAAUUUGAUUAACAAUCAAAUUUGAAAACGAAUAAUUAACUUUAUCUUGAAGAUAAGAAUAAAAUAACAAAAACAUAUUGUAGUAUCUAAUUUUCAUAUAAAAGUUGAUAAAAAUUUUUUAUUAAAAUAUCUUUGAUAUUUUAAUUUUACCUUUUAAACCCUAUAAAAUUAAAUAAAAAACCAACAUGUCAAAGUUUCUCCAUGAAUAGAGGUUGGGAUACCCAGCAACUUAGAAAACGAAAUGGCUCCCAUCCCCACGUUUGGCAUUGCUGUCCUAAAAUAAUUGGACAGUGGUCAGACAACCCUCGUGGCAAACGACUCAUGAGAAGAAGGCCUGAGAAUUUUAAAUGGCAGUCUGGAGUGGCAAAGGCUCUAUCAAUUCUACUCAUUGAGGUGGCAUGAAAUCGUGUGUAUCGGUGGCCACUGAGGGAAUACUCCAAAAGGUUAGAGCUUGAGAUGAAACGUUUGAAAUCUGCAGACCCAAUUGCAUUCGAAAACCCACUAUUCCUUUCAUAUUGAUGCAAAGUUUCAUUGAAGUCCCCAACAAUGAACAUAGGUGUGCAAAUGCAGCUUGUAAGAUAAGAAGAUAAUCCCACAGUUCACGCCUCUCAUGUACUGUGGUUCCGGCGUAGACUCCUAUUAUUGCACAAUUAAAUUGCUUCUCCACGUGUUAGACCAAGAAGCGCUACCCAUUGCCCACCAUAUUCGAUUGACUAUCUAGAGCCUUCCGUGAAAUUGCAGGAAUGCAUUAUUUACAUCCAUUUACCAUAGCUUCUACGGAUUUUUAGCUGUUAAUGCAAUUAAUAUUCUCACAAUAGUUAUUUUUGCUACUAAACUGAAUAUUUCAUCAUAAUCUAAUCCAUACUGCAAGAACCCUCGAGCUACCGAACUUGCCUUAUAUAUUUUGAUCGAUCCAUCUGGACAUGUCUUCACCUUGUAACCCAUUUAUAAGAUAUGUGCUUCACGUCUAUAUAGGCUUCGACACUAAGUCUCAUGUCCGAUUUUCCAUUAGAGCAUGGAUCUCCUCAUCCAUUUCUUUCUUUCAUUCACUACUCUGUGAUACUUCUUCUUAAGUCAUAGGCUCUAUAACCUAAGCUUUCAAAGCUAAUGUUAUGUUAGCAUAUUUUGGAUUUAGUUUCCGUUGUCUCCUUGACCUUUUCACUUAUGACUGAUGUGUACCUUGUUCUUAAACUUUUGCUAUCUUGGUUACUCUUCUUUCGAAGAUAUUUGAUGAACACUAGUUUUCCAGGGGCUUGCUCGCAUUAUAGGAUUUUCUUGAUCAUCAAAUGUUGUAGACUCCUCCAUUUUUCAAGGUAUUUGUUACAUAUUUUAAGAUAUGAUUUAUAUUAUUUUCUAACACACCCCUUCAAGUGAAAGCCAUUUGAGCUUGAAACUUGCACAUGUUCACACCACAUUAUGCUUGAUUUUUAUCAAAUAAAUGGAGAUGAUGAGAUUUGAACUCGUGAUCACUUGGUCAUCAAGGCUCUGAUACCAUAUCAAAAAACCAAUUCAACCCAAUAGCUUAAACUGUUAGGUAAAGUUUCAAAUAUGAUUUAUAUUAUUCUCUAACACACCUUCACCUUUUCUAUUGGCCACUAGGAAGUUGCUUCAUCAAACAUGACCUUCCUCGCAGUGGUGGAGCCAAGAUUUUUUAAAUAAGAGAGCAAAUUACUAGCAAAUAUUUGAUAUUAUAUGCUAUACAAACAUGUGUUAUAUAAAGAAAUUAAUUUGAAAUAUAUGUACCAACUCAAGUCAAGUAAAAUUAAUUUAAGAAUACUUUUAAAAUAAAAAAACUUUAUAAUUGUUCUCUUCGAGAUUUUAUAUUUUAAACUGCUUUAUAAUGAUUUUAUUUUUAAUUUUUAUUUUUAAUCUCAUUAAAAAUAUCUUUCUCAAUAUAUACAAUAAACUUUCAUUUAUCUAUUUCUAAAUCUUCUAAAGACUAGGAAAGUUCUUGGCAACAAUUCUAUGUUGACAUAUAGUACAUAACAUCUAAAAUCAUAGCUUAAAAAGAUUGUCACAAAUUGAUGUUGUUCUUGCUAACUUAUUGUUUUAUACAAAUGGAUUAAACAUAAAUAUUAAAUGUUUUAUUUUUAAUUUAUAUAUUAUGAUAAUUUUUUGAAUUGUCUUGUAUUUUAUUUUUAAUCACUAGUAAAUUCAUCAUCAUCAUUUUUCAUAUGAAAUUCAUAGCAAAAUACUUAUCAAUUCAUCAAAACUCAUUUCAAUUCAUAUCUAUUAACAUAUAAUAUUACCCAUACACGUAUUAAUUCAACAAACCCAUAAAUUAUUAUAAACCCCAACAUUUUCAAUAACUAAUUAUAAAGAAAUAAAACUAAAAUUAGAUAAUGAAACAAAUAGAAAAAAUGAAGGAAAUAAAUUAGAUAAUGAAACAAAUAGAAAAAAUGAAGGAAAUUUUCCUUAAAUAUAAGAGGUUUGAAGAAAAAUUUUGUAGAAGAGAGAAAGACAUGGACAAUAAUGAAAAAAGAAAAAGAGUUUGGAUUAAUUAGUAGCUAAUAAAAAAAAUUAACCCUGUAAAGCUAUAAUAUUAAUAUUUUAAUAUAAAAAGAUACUUUAAAAAAAAAGAGAUUAAAGGGGCAAUUGCCCUCUCUUGAUCUAUUGUGGCCACUACACUACAAGAUUUAACAGUUUUACCAACGGAAUUUUUCCGUCGGCGUAAGACACAUAUUCCGUCGGUAAUUAAUUUUCCGACGGAAUCACAGACGGAAAUGCUCCGUCGGUGAAUCUUUCGUCGGUAAUUAUUUUUUCGUCGGUAAAUCUGUUGGUAAUAAAAAAAUAAAUUUAUCCGCUUCAUUUCGUCGGUAUAUCCCUCGGUAAUAAUAUUUUUUUAUUACCAACGGAUUUACCGAUGGAAUUGCCGUCGGUAAUUCCAUCGGUAAUUAUUUAAAAACAUUUAAAAAAAUUCAUUUUAUAAAAUUAUAAAAUAAUUAAAUUAGCAUAAAUUAACACUGUAUAAUAUAUACUCAAAAUGCUUGGAAAAAGAAUAAGAAAAUCAACUCAAACAAAUUUGCAACAAAUAAAUAAAAUGAAAAAAUAAAUUCAACUAAAAAAUUCAUAUGAAAAAAAUAAAGAUGCAAUUGCUAAAAAUUUAAAAAUCCUAUAAAUAAAUUAACUAAAAAUUGAUCUCAUAUGAAGAAAAAAUCUCACAACAACAUUUAUACAAUUAUUAAGAACAAAAACAAUUAAAAAUAAAAUAAAAAACAAAUAUAGUGAAAAAAAUCAUGAAAAAAGAAGAAAAAAAAUCUUACCUUAAUGUAGUUGCAAGUGAAGCUAAGGAGAGAAAAAAAUAUUUCGUUAAGCAUAUUAAUUAAAAAAAAACUAAGAGGAUAAAAGAAGAAAGAAGAAGAAGACAUACCCAAGCAUGAAGGAAAAGAGAAGGAGAUGAGGAGAGAAAAGAAGAGAAAGAAAUAUAUAUUGAUGUUUUUUACAUAUAGCGAAGAAGAAGAAGAAGAAGAAGAAGAAGAAGUAGAAGAACAAGAAGAAGAAAUGAGUCUGUCUCUUGUGAAAUAAGGGGAUUCAUGCUUUUUAUUGGGGCGCGUUACCGACGGAUUUACCGACGGAUAAUUGAAUAUUAAUAUUUUUUAAUUAUUCCGUUGGUAAUUCCAUCGGUAAUAUUUAAUUUAAAUUUUCAAUUUCAUAAAAAUUUUUCAGAAACCGCCAACAAUUACCGACGGUUUUUCAAUCCGUCGGUGAUUCCGUCUGUAAUAUUUAAAUGAAAAUUUUAAAUUAAUUGAAUUUUUUCAGAAAACCGCCAAAUAACACUCUCUGGAAAAUACCGACGGAAAAUUCCGUCAGUGAUUCCCUUUGUAAUUGAGAUGAUGAACAGUGUUCACAGUUUACCGACGGAAUUACCAAGGGAAUUUACCGACGGAAAAUUCCGUCGGUAUUUCCGUCGGUAAUUCCGUUGGUAAAAAUGACACGUCAUCUUUUUUUUUUUGCUUUGUUUUAAAUUUUUUUCCCACGGUAAUUCCGUCGGUAUAUACCGAGGGAAUAUUUCCGUCGGUAAAAUCCCUCGGAAAUUUACCGAUGAAAAUAUUCCCUCGGUAUUUCUGUUUGUAUUUAUCAAUUUUCUGGUAGUGGGCUCCGUCACUGCUUUCUCGAUACCAUACAUUUUAUUGGUACUGGGAUUGCAACAUUUCCAUGCUUUUCGUUGCUCAUUUUAAACCCAAGAAUAUGCAAUGAAUCACUUUCUUAUCUAAUUUUCUUCGAAGAAUAUCGGGCAUGAACACAUAUCAUACAUAUCCAAACACUCUAAAGUAACACAUCUUUGCCCUUAUGCUCGUAACUUUUCACAUGAUGUGGUGAAUCUAAGAUUUGCUUAGGUAAGCCUAUUGAUAACAUGUGUAGCUGCCUUCAUGCACUCACCUUAGAAUCUCCUUGGAACAUUCUUGACAUGUAGCAUACGUCUACAAGUUUUCGCUAAGUGCCUAUUCUUUCUCCCCGCUACUCUAUUUUGAUGGGGCCCUGCUGGACAAGUAAGUUGUCGACAAAUACUGCAUACUCUUAGAUAGUUAUUGAGUUCUUCACAAGUGUCACGUUAUCUGUACUAAGUAUUAUAGAAUGUGUUAGAAUAGGAAAUAUUGUAUUAUUAAUGUAUUGACUUAUCGUAUAUAGCAUACUAUACUGUAAUAGAUGUACUGUUUUAAUUAUAUAAAUAGCAGAGGUGGUUAUCUCAUUAGCUCAAGCCUCUCAAUUAUCACAAACUUUGUUGCAACUUGAUAUCAGAGCCAAUUUAUCUUCACAUAUUUAUUCUUCAAACAGCAGCCCCUCUACUACUUCUCUGCAACAAAAUCAUCUCCUCUGUUUGUUGUCUAUUUCUACUCCUCCAUCAGCUAAUUAUUCUUCAAACGACAGCCCCUCUAAUUAUUUUUUAUUACUACUGCUUCAAACAAAAUCCAUUAGCAACGAUAUUGCUUCUCUGCAACGCUGACUUUCUGCCUCAUGAUCAGCGUGUUAAUUACUUGCUUCAUUGUGCUAUUGUUUUUUCUGUUAAUUACUGCAUUGUUGUUACGAUGUCGCGGUCACACAAAUUAAUUACCCUAACUUAAAAUACAACACACAAGAUAAUAUAGAGCAAAUAAGGGGUCGAUCCCACGAGGAAAGUUCGAGUCAGAUUUUUAUGCUGUAUGAUAUGCAACUGGGGGGUUGUGAAGUUAUCUAGGUUAAAGCAAAAGAAAACAAAAAAAUACCAAGCAAAAUUAAAUAAAAUCAGAAAAUAAUCAAUAGAACAAACCUUGGUCACAAGUAAACGUCCACCUACAGAAAUCAGAACUGAUCAUGGAAACAAAACAUCAAUUUAUAUUCCGAAUAUUUAUCUCUUCUUAACAUUGGUUAGUUAAUGGAUCCGCUAUAUAACUAACCCUAGUCAUCAAACAACCACAGUGUCCGCACUAGUAAUUUAAUUAAAUGGCAGCCUUAAGAACUAGAUAAGUUAAUUAAUCAAGAAAAAAUAACUAUCUGCAGUCUAUGUUUGAUUUGAUUGAAUAUUCUCCUUAAGAUUAAUAACAUAGAUCCAUCACAAUUAUUAAACUCAGUUGCUUCACAAGUUCAUAUACCACAACUCCGGUUUUGAUAUCAAACUUAGCAAUAAAUUGUCUACAAUAAUAACUUAGAGUCCGCUCUAGCAAUUAAAAUAAACAAUCAUAGAAAAAAUAAGCGUAGGAGAACAAACAUAUUCAUCAUAUAAACUGGAAAGAAAAGGUAAAAUAAAUCUCACAGUUCUUGAAAUCCGAAGGUUUUUGUGUUCUUGCAACCAAGAAAAAGAGUUUAGCCUUGCAUGUUUGUUGAAAAACUAAUCAAAAAGAAGGAGGAAUGCAUGAUUUCGGGUUUCUUAGAGGAAAGGGGUGUUUUUCUCUUCUUUCCAGCCUGCCUCUCUUCUCUUCUCUCAUUCUUUUUAUAUCCUAAGAAACCUAGUCUCUAUUUUACAAAAUAGUCCUCCCUUAAGUAGAUAGUUUACAUUUAAGUACUUCAAUAACUAUUUUCCUAAAAAAAAGAAAUAUCCUUGCAUGAAAUCUUCAAUCUUUGACUUAGAGGAGCUAAAUUGGUGAAACAAAAACUUGAAUGUCGGUUUAAAUGCCCCUUAACGUAAUUUGGACUCGUUUCUUCACGAAACUUGUUUGCUGGCAGAAUUAAGUUGUGAUCUUUGAAAAAUCAUAUCUCCCUCAUAUGACAUUGUUUUUUGAUGAAAGUUGGAGUGUUGAUAUUUAUUUGAGUCCAGAAUCCAAAAACAUUGAGUUUGCAUCAAUUGGAUUUUUGUAACUCAAGAUAUUCAAGUUGGAAUGGCUGAAGGUCAAUACCAGCAGAUUGCAAGAUUUGACUUUGAAGGUUGCAAUUUCCAUAUUCUUCCUUAUUUUAUUUUCUUGGCUUAGAUUUCCAGAAAGGUAUGGAUGUUAGCUUUUUAUUCCACUGGAAUCACUUCAUUUUGACCUCUAGAACUCACACUCUGCACAAAACAUCUAUUGAAGGUCAAAUCUGCCAAUUACCUUUAAUUUACUCAUUUUUACAUCUUUCAUCCAAAAGUGCCUUCAAAACAUAAAACAAAAAAUAUUAAGGCAUUUUAUAUAAAACAAAACAUAAGCAAAACACUAUGUAAAUGUGUGUUGUUAUCCAUUUUUGGGUUCCCGCACAAAAAAUAAAAAAAAUACAUAUUAGAAAAUAUAUUCGGAAGGAAUCCAAAAAAAUAAUAUGAGUGAGAAAAGGAUGUUGGAACACCCAUAAAAUGUCUAGAAAUUGGUUGAGGAGGUUCAAAAAUACAAGAAUUGAAAUUUGACAAUAUAUUUUCAAGUGGUGAGAGCCUUGUUUACAAGGAAAAUUUAAUUUUUGAGGAAGAAAAGUCCAAAAUCAGAUGUUUAUGGACUUAAUUAAAUUUUAUCUAAGGUUUAAUUGAAUUUAUGGAGGGUUUGGUUACAAGAAAUAUUGAUUUUUAAGUCAAUUUAAGCUUUUAUUGGAAGAAAUUAAAGUUCUGAGAGCCAAUUAUAAUUUUAAAGAGUUGAUUUGGUCAAAUUAGGGGCUUAAUUGCAUAAUUAUUGAAGUUUGAUGGCCAAUUAGGGACUUAAUUGAAACAAUCCAAAACCAAUUACCAAACUGGAAAAGGCGCUCAAAUCAAGGGAUCCAAUUACAAUUUUUCUGGGGUCUUGAUUAUAAACUUGCAAAAACAUCCAAGGACCAAAUCAGAAAUAUCAUUUAAAGUUGCAAAACGGUGUCGUUUCACUGAACACUGCUCACUGUCGUUACGUGCAGCUGGCCGAGAGACGUUGCAGCAGCGAAGGCGUUGAUUUGCUUCAAUCAAUGGGGCAUGUUUCAUGGCUGAUAUCUCUCGCCACCAUGAUGCACGCCGGCCGUUACUCUGUCCCUGCAACAACAAAUGAAAACGCCUGCAUCCUCUGGCUAUAAAAGCUAGAGGAUGUACUGAACAGAAGGAGAAAAAAAAAGGAACGAGACAGAGGAAAGAAAAAACAGAGGGAGAGGGGAACGUAAAGAAGAGAAAACAGAGGGAGGAAGAGCGUAAGAAACUAAAAAAAAGCAGUAAGAGAAGAAAGCAGAGAGAGGAGAAUAGAGGAGAGCAAACAGGAAAAGAAAGAAAAAGAGAAAGAGAGAGAGAGAGGAGAGUGAACGAAAAAAAAAACAGAGGAACACAUUAGCAACCUAAAGCAGAGAACGCAGAUAGCAAAAGAGGUCAGCACCAUCAUCGUCUUCAUCUCUCCAGCACCAGGUAUGUUCACUUCCCUCCUCAGUCCCUGUAAUAAAAAGCGUCAUAGUAACUCUGCGCCAACGUUUCUGGUUUUCAUCAAGCAUCACUUCUUCUUUCUUUUCACAUAAUUUCCAACCAUAAUUCCAUGAUAUAUCACAAGUAUAUGCUCUACUAAUCCUUGGCCAGGGUAAAAGAGAAAAACAUAUAAAAAGUUAAGGCUUAUACAUGGAUAAAGCAAAGAAAAGAUAAACAAGCUCAAAAGGGCUCACUAAGGAUAAUAUGUUUUAGGUUGGCUUUUUGGCUCAAGUGAUUGAAAUUCCUAAUGCCUUUGUCAUCUUCAUAUAUAUAUGUAAUGCGAAUGUAAUCUCAACAAGAUAUGAAGCAAGUUCUAGAGAUACAUAUCAUUGAAAGAAUGCACAAUCAAAGAAUAUAAUGUUGAAGGCUCAAAAGCUUGCAUUGGUAUAACAGUAUAAAGUCAACAUGACAUAUUUUCAAAGUCAAUCCUUAAACCAAUUACACAUUAAAACUUGCAUGCACACUCAUUCAUUAGAUUUAUAUCUUUAUCUAUCUCAAUUAAUUCUCAUGCAUAAUACUCAUAUUCUCAUAAACCAAUGGGAGUUCAAAAAAAUCAAACAUAGAAUUUUUUUUUUUUGAAAAAUAACAAAGAAAACCAAAAUUCCCUUAAUACCCCCACACUUUAAACACAACAUUGUCUUCAAUCUUGAAAUAAAAGAAAAGGAAUAUAGGAGAAUGACAAAAAUAAAGUAAAAUGUGAAAAAUAAAAGAUAAGGGAAAAAGAAAGCAAAUAUGAUUUUUUUUUCUUUUUGUGAUGGGUUGCCUCCCAGUAAGCGUUUUUGUUUUAUAUCAUUGGCUCAACAUGUGGCAUACUUAUUCUUCAUAGAUUGGUUUUGCUAAAUCCACAGAAGCGGUGAGUUCUGUCGUCCAACCUUCAAAGAAAGGUUUCAAGCGAUGCUCAUUGACCUUAAACACUUUGUUUGUUUCUAAACUUGUAAUUUCAAUUGCACCAUAAGGAAAAAUAUUAGAAACAACAAAGGGUCCAAUCCAACGAGAGCGCAACUUUCCAGGAAAAAGUUCCAAACACGAAUGAUAAAGAAGGACUUUGUCUCCAACAUUAAACUCUUUUCUUUGCAAAUCCUUGCAUUCUUAAGCAUCAUUUCAAAUCUCUUCUAACUCUUGUAAUAGCAACUUUCUUGCAAUCCCAGCAGCAUCAUAAUCCAUGUUACAUUUUUUAAUGGCCCAAAAAGCUUUGUGUUCAAGCUCCACCGGUAGAUGACAUGUUUUCCCGUAAAUCAUCCUAUAAGGUGACAUUCCUAUAGGUGAUUUGUAAGCAGUCCGAUAAGCCCAAAGUGCAUUACCAAGUCGUAGACUCCAAUCUCACCGGUUAGGUUGCACUAUCUUCUCCAAAAUGGAUUUGAUUUCUCAAUUUGAAAUUUCAGCUUGGCCAUUCAUUUGAGGAUGGUAUGUUGUGGAAGUUCAAUGAGUCACAUGUAUUUGUGUAACAAUGUUUCCAUUUAACGAUUGCAAAAAUGAGUGCCAUGAUCACUAAUGAUAGCUUUAGGGAUUCCAAACCUAUCAAAUAUGUGAGUCCUGACAAAAUCUAAAACAACCUUAGCAUUGUUAGUUCAUGUGGCUUUCGCCUCAAGAAGGAUAUAAAGAUUGCCUAAAGAAGAAGGAAAUGGACCCAUAAAAUCAAUACCUCAAACAUAAAAAAUUUCACUUACAAGAAUAUUCGUUAAAGGCAUUUGAUUCUUAUGAGUGAUAUUACCUGUUCUUCGGCAUUUUUCACAUGAUUUUCAAAAAUAAUAUGCAUCCUUAAAAAUAGAAGGCCAAUAAAAACCACUUUCAAGUACCUUAUGGAUCGUUUUUUUUUCUCCAAAAUGCCCACCACAAGAAUGAGAAUGACAAAAAGUGAGAAUGGAAUGAAAUUCAUCCUGUGGUACACAUCUCCUAACUAUUUGAUCCACACAAAAUUUUCACAAAUAGGGGGUAUCCCAAAAAUAAUAUUUAGCAUCAGCUAGUAACUUGUUUUUUUAGGAUGUAGACAAACCUGAAGGGAAUUCUUUGGUGACUAAAUAGUUCACCAAAUUAGCAUACCAUGGUCUUGUAGAGGAAUAUAACACAUACAACUGCUCAUCGGGGAAUGUCUCUCUUAUUGUUUUGGUUUGUAUAUCCUCGGUCCUUAGUCGACUCAAGUGAUCAGCCUCUUGGUUUUCAACACCUUUUUUUUCUUUGAUCUCAAGAUCAAUUUCUUGUAAAAGCAAGAUCCACUUAAUCAAUCUUGGUUUGGACUCCUUUUUCUUCAAAAGAUACCUCAAAGCUACAUAGUCAGUAAAAACGACUUUUAUACCAAGUAAAUAUGACAUGAAUUUUUCUAGAGCAAAUAUCAUUGCAAAAAGUUCCUUUUCAGUUGUAUGGUAAUUGCAUUGCGCUCCGUCCAACAUGUGGGAAGCAUAGGCUAAACAUGCAAAUUCUUACCAAUUCUUUGCCCAAUUACAACCCCUAUCGCAGAGUCAAUCGCAUCACACAUUAUCUUGAAAGGCUCAUCCUAGUUUGGUGGUUGCAUGAUAGGGGUAGAUGUGACAUGCCUCUUGAGCUCAUCAUGGACAUCUUUACAUGCUUGAUAAAACACAAAAUCCACUUCUUUCACUAAUAGUUUGCACAAGGGUGUUGUGAUCUUCAAGAAAUCUUUGAUAAAGCGUCGAUAGAAACCUGUAUGGCUCAGAAAAGAACGAACUUCCCUCACGCAUGAGGGGUAAGGAAAUAAUGAAAUAAUGUCUAUUUUAGCUUUAUCAACCUCUAAUCUACAUGAAGACACAACAUGUCCAAGAACUAUUCCUUGUUCUACCAUAAAAUAACACUUUUCAAAAUUCAAGACAAGGUUAGUUUCAAUGCACCUUUUCAAAAUUAAAGAUAAAUUUUCUAGACAUUUAUCAAAAGUGUCGCACCCGACAUCGCGGCGGCCUUAAAAAUUAUUAAAUCUUUGGAAAGAACGGAUUUCUGGCAUCCUGUUCUUUAAUGCGGAAUGGUCUUGUUUAAGGAGUCGCCACCUAGUAUUAUGGUCACUAGGAACCCUAACUGGUCAACAGAGAUUCUAUGGUUCGGGACUGCUACGUAAAAGGAAAGAUAUUAUCACUCCUUAAAUGUUCUGCCUGAGGCAGGCUGCAUUGCUAGUUUUGUCUUAAAUUGCUAAAUAUUUAUUGGUUUAUGCUCUGAUGGUUUACUUGCAAUAUUCCUGACUCUGGCGCCAGUGAAUAUUUAACUACGAAUAUUUCCAACUCUGGCGUUGGUAAAUAUUACGUAGGUACCAAAAUAAAUAAAUUUAAAUCAUCAUUUUCCUUUUUUAUUCCUGACUCUGGCGUCAAUAAAUAAACAAAUAAAAAUCAAUUUAUUUUUAUACAUACGCAUUUUUAUUUUUAUGUAGCUAAAUAAAAGCAAAAUACAAAUAAAAAAUUAAAUAUAGUUGACAAUGGGGUUAAGACAAAAAGAAUCACCAUACACUGUGAAAUCAUCCAUGAAAACUUCAAUUAUUCUUUAAACAUAGUCAGAAAAAAUACUCAUCAUGCAUCUUUGAAAAGUUGCAGGUGCAUUACAGAGACCAAAUGACAUUCUCCUAUAUGCAUAUGUACCAAAUGGACAUGUAAAUGUAGUCUUUUCUUGAUGUUCAGGAUUAAUAACAAUCUGAUUAUAUCCAUUAUAUCUAUCAAGAAAGCAAUAAAAAGACUUACCUGUCAGGCGUUCAAGCAUUUGGUCCAUGAAUGGUAAUGAGAAAUGAUCUUUGCGUGUAGAGAGAUUAAGCUUUCUAUAAUCAACACACAUUCUCCAUCCACUCAAGAUGCGAGUAGUAAUGAGUUCCUCAUUUUUGUUCUUUAACAACGUGAUCCUGAUCUUUUUGAGCACCACAUGGAUAGGCACCACCCAUUUACUGUCCAUGAUGGGGUAAAUGACUCCUGCAUCUAAUAGUUUCAAAAUCUCAGCUUUCACUACCUCCAUCAUAGGCGGAUUCAACCUCCUUUGCAUUUCCCUCAUUGGUUUUGCAUUGUCCUCCAAUAAUAUGUGAUGCAUACACAUGGAGGGACUAAUGCCUUUGAUGUCGGCUAAAGUCCAUCCAAUUGCCGUCUUGUGAUCACACAACAACUUCAUAAUUUUUUCCUCUUGCGCCCUUGUCAAAUCUUUUGCUAUGAUAACGGGAAGUGUGUUGUUGUCGCCAAUGAAUACAUACUUCAAAUUAUCGGGCAAAGGUUUUAAUUCUAACUCAGGGGCCUGUAAAAUAGAUGGCAAAAGCUUUUUAUGUGAAAGUACUAAAUCAACAAAGACAUUACCAUAAGGAAUGGUUUGCAAAGCUUGCAAAGCCAAUGCUGAUUCGUGCAUGUUUUGGGGAACACAUGUGCCUCUCUAUCUCUUUUAUCUUGGUAAAAUCAUAGCCAUAACUCAAAGUCAUGCUUAAUUCGUUCUCACGGUCAUAAUAAAAAACUUGUCGCACACACUUAUCAACUUGGUCAUAGCAUGUGAUAGAAUAAACAUUGUUGUAUGGAUAUUUCAUUGCAUCAUGAAAAUUAAAUUCAAUUUCUUCAUCUCCUACCUCCAUAGACAAAGUAUCCUAACCACAAUCAAUCUUUGUAUUGGCAGUUUUCAAGAAUGGUCUCCCAAACAAUAUAAGAGUGUUGUUUGAUGAAUCACAAGAGUCCUGUUCCAUAUCAAGAAUAUAAAAGUCGCAUGGAGUAACCAAACUAUCAAUCUUGACUAGAACAUCUUCUAUCACACUAAGUGGAUAAACAAAACUAUGAUCCGCAAGUUGUAUUACAAUACUAGAUUUAUUUGAGCUCCAAACUAAGAGAAUCAUAAACAUGUUUAGGCAUAACACUAAUGGAUGCACCUAAAUCGCAUAAAGCCCUUUUAAAACUAGCAUUACCAAUAACACAUGGGAUAGUAAAUACACUUAGGUCUUUUUGCUUCAAAGGCAUAUUCUUUUGAAGAACAGCAGAUACAACUUCACCCAUACUUACUAUUUCAUGACCUUUCAGUUUGAAAGCUCUCUUGGUAGUACACAACUCCUUCAAAAAUUUGGCAUACUUGGGAAUUUGCUUGAUAGCAUCAAGUAAAGGAAUGUUGAGUUCUACUUUCUUGAAAACCUCUAAAUUAUCUUUUUCUUUGUCCUCUUUCUUUGACCUAGAAGAACUCACAGAAAAGGAUGGAAUUGUUUUAAAACUAGAAUUCAUUGACUGACGAGUUACCUUUGGAGUGUUGGUCGUUGUUUCAUUUUGUGGAGGAGAAGGGUGUUUCUUCUUUGUACUCAAUUUGGUUUCUAUCUCUUCUUCUUCCUCCAUCUCAAUUUGUUUCAACCUUUGCCUUUCAAGUUCUUUCCCACUUCACAGCAUGAUUGCACUAACAUUCUCUUUUGAAUUCAAUGCUUGGGAAGGCAAUUUUCCAUUCAUUUGUGCUUCCAAUUUCCCCACACUUGAAGCUAUUUGCUCCAUUUGCUUCUCCAAAUUAUGAAUACUUAACCUUGUUCUUGUUGAAAAGACAUGACGUUUUAUUGCAAGGUCAUUGUAUUAAAAGCUAAUGUCUUCGUCAUCUCAUAAAGAUCAUCAUUGGAUGACGAACCCAUAACAUUAGAGUUUGUGAAUGGAGGGGGCGGUCUCACUUGAUAAUUCUGCUAAGGCUAAAAUCCAUGGGGAUGGAAUUGUCGGCCUUGAUUGCCUUGUUGAGGCAGGUUCCCAUAGCGUAAGUUUGGAUGAUCUCUCCAUCUGGGAUUGUACAUGUUGGAAAAGGGAUCAUAGUUACGCUAGGGUUAGCCGUUGAAUCCUCCAUCAACUGCAUGAACUUGUUCAAUAUAAUCUUCUUGUAUUGUUGGGCAUAUAUCUGUGCUAUGUCCUUGUAAGGAACAUAUGCUACAAACUUUCACUUGUUGUACAUUUCCAUAAGCCAAAGAGCGCAUAAGAGAAGUAAGAUCAUUAACUUUAUUUUCAAUGUUAGAAAUACUUACCUCAUUUACUCGUUUGUUUGAGAUGUCUCCACGGGUGCCAAACUGUUUUGAGUUGGCUAUCAUGUUUAAGAUCAAUUGGCGUGCACCCUCUGGUGUCUUGUCUACCAAUGCCCCUCCAUAUGCAGCAUCAAUGAUACUACGAUCAGUAGGCAUCAAUCCUUCAUAGAAAUAUUGAAUGAGCAGCUGACCGGGUAUUUAAUGAUGAGGGCAUUGGAUGCACAGUUGCUCAAAUCUUUCCUAAUAUUCGGAGAGUGUCUCGCCAUAAGAUUGCCGAAUCCCACAUAUUUCUUUCCUUGUGUUGGCAACUUGAGAUGCUAGGAAAUUACUUCUCAAGGAAGAUCUUCUUCAUGGCAUUCCACGUUCCAAUGGAACCUGGGAGAAUAGAGAAAAGCCAUGCCUUUGCUGCCCCUUUUAAAGAGAAAGAGAAAGCUUUCAACUUAACUUGUUCUUCAUCAACUCCAUUCAGUUUCAUGCCAACGCAAACCAUAUGAAACUCCUUAAGAUGAGUAUGGUUGAUUUUCCAUGUUAGGAGCAGCAAGCUCUAUGAGUGUUUGUUAUCAUGCAAUAGCCUUAGUGUUGACGCGAGCUUCGUUUCAUAACCUGAGUAAAGUGUUUUCUAUUUUGAGAUCCACAUGUACUUGACUCUGGUUAAUAGAACGGGUUACAGGCAUAAAUCAUCAAGAAAACUCAAAAGAAACUAACCACACAAGAGAUCGAAAACAAUGCAAAUUGUACGAAAAUCCUAUCCUCUCUCCCGUUCUCUCUUUUUCUCUUAUUUUUCUGCUCCCUUUUUUUGCUAUUUUUUUGCUCUCUUUUUGCCGCCCCUUGCUAGGUCAUUAAAGGGGUUUAUAUAUAGUCUAGAAUAUCUCUAUUUAGGAAAGAUUUAAUGCAUUAAUUCUAGGACGUAAAUCCCUACUGAUUUGCAGUAAAAAAACGCAAAAGGAAGCUGCAAUAUUCUGAUUUUGUGCUGGUGCUUUACGUCUGAUUUCUUUCCAAUUUUAGAGGAGGGUGUGGCUAUUUUCUUUCCUUCCUUUCAUAGGGCCAGCUGCUCCCUUUCAAAUGAGGCAAGAAAAAACGUGGUUGCAGCUCCAAAAUUCAGGCAUGAUGAUAAAGGAAAAACAGCAGGAAUUUGCAGCGAAAAAAAGGAAAGAAAUCAGAUGGAGGGUGCAGCUGCAAAGUCUCAUUUUCCUUAUUCGGUGUGGAAAAAAUCCUGUCAUUUAUGAUGAUACAGCCCCCUCUCCAGCUUUCAAUAUCCUUCUUCAAUUCAAUCCCUCAUUUUAACAAUUUUUGAUUCAGUCCUGGGUCCAAAAAAAAUCCUUCGAAUCAGCCCCGCGAAUUGGGCUAUAUCCUUCCCGCGGCAGAAUUUUCUAUCCUCACGUUAGAUAUUCAAAAUGGGAAUAUCUUGAGCUUCUGAUAUCGAAAUCAAGUGAUUCAAAAGCCCAAAUUCAUCUACAUGUCUAGGACUAAAACUUUAAUGAAGAAGUCGAAGUGAGAUAAAAUCUUUUUACAGAACAGAAACUGGCAGUAAUCUAGUUGGUCAAAAGGAAUCUCCGGGUCUAACUCAAAAACUGAGGAAUGUCGAGAAUCCUGAUAUGACUGAGAGUAUGAACUAAGAACGAAAAUCACAAAAACUAGGCCAAAAAUAGAGUUUCUUUAGUGUAGACUCGGGUCAAUAUCCUUCUCGCGGCAGAAUUCUCUGCCUUCACGUUAGAUAUUCAAACGGGAACAUCUUAGGCCUCUGAUAUCAAAAUCAAGUGAUUCAAAAGCCCAAAUUCAUCUACGCGUCUAGGACUACAACUUUGAUGAAGGAGUUGAAGUGAGAUAAAAUCUUUUUACAGAACAGAAACUGGCAGUAAUCUAGUUGGUCAAAAGGGAUCUCUGGGUCUAACUCAAAAACUGACGAAUGCCGAGAAUCCUGAUAUGACUGAGAGUAUGAACUAAGAACAAACAUCACAAAACUAGGCCAAAAAUAGAGUUUUUUUAGUGCAGACUCGGGUCAAUAUCCUUCUCGCGGCAGAAUUCUCUACCUUCACGUUAGAUAUUCAAAUGGGAACAUCUUGAGCCUCUAAUAUUGAAAUCAAGUGAUUCAAAAGCUCAAAUUCAUCUACGCGUCUAGGACUACAACUUUGAUGAAGGAGUCGAAGUGAGAUAAAAUCUUUUUACAUAACAGAAACUGGUAGUAAUCUAGUUGGUCAAAAAGGUUCUUGAUCUGACAAUACUGAGCAUCCAAAUCUAAAUGAGAAUCUGCUCUAAGAACAAUGAUCCCUAGGACCUAAUAAAGGUGUACGUCAAUUUUUCAAUAUGUAAUGAGUGACAGGAUAUACCUAGGAUGGUCAGAUAUCGUAUGAAACUGAGUCAGAAUCAGAGCCUAAGUUGGAACCAAAAAAAAUUGCGACAGCAGCAGAACUAUUUUUUUAGUGCAAAUUCUGAGGGAUUUAUUCAACUUUAAAGACCAGAUAAAAAAUAAUGAAUUUAGCAUUAUGAAGACUCCUGAUCAAACUAAGAAAACCUGAUGAUUUUGGUAGUAAAGGGGAAGGAUAAAAAGAGCAGAAAACAACUCAAACAAGGUUUCAAAAUAUUUCUUUAUGUGCCUUUGUCAAUCUUUUGGUGAAUAUGAGCUAAUCUCCUACACUCUGUUCAAAAGAGGUAUACACUGUCUUCAGCACGUGGGGUCCAAAAUUGAGUAACAACAGUUGCCCCCUCUUUACAAUGCUUACGAAGCAAAACUUGUCAAGCGCUUCGCGUAGUAAGUGUUGUAAAGAUAAACCAUUUGAUCCUGCUAAAUCUCACUGCUUUUCCUAAACAAUGGUCUCCCUAUCAGAUGACCUGCUUAUUUAAGAUUUCUAGAAAAACUUCAAUUUUUUUUGAAAUGGUCUGAUUAUCGGGUGACCUGCCCAUCUUAAGAUUCUUUGAAAACUCCACGCUUUUCUAAGAAACGGUCUCAAUAUCAGGUGACAGGCCCAUCUUAAAAUUCUUAGAAAACUCCACGCUUUUCUAAGAAACGGUUUCAAUAUCAGGUAACCGGCCCCUCUUAAAAUUCUUUAGAAAACUCCACGCUUUUCUAAGGAAUGGUCUCAAUAUCGGGUGACCUCUUAGAAAACUCCACGCUUUUCUAAGGAAUGGUCUCAAUAUCGGGUGACCUGCCCAUCUUAAGAUUCUUAGAAAACUCCACGCUUUUCUAAGAAACGGUCUCAGUAUCAGGUGACCGACCCAUCUUAAAAUUCUUAGAAAACUCCACGCUUUUCUAAGAAACAGUUUCAAUAUCAGGUAACCGACCCCUCUGAAAAUUCUUUAGAAAACUCCACGCUUUUCUAAGAAAUGGUCUCAAUAUCGGGUGACCUGCCCAUCUUAAGAUUCUUAGAAAACUCCACGCUUUUCUAAGAAAAGGUCUCAAUAUCAGGUGACUGGCCCAUCUUAAAAUUCUUAGAAAACUCCACGCUUUUCUAAGAAACAGUUUCAAUAUCAGGUAACCGGCCCCUCUUAAAAUUCUUUAGAAAACUCCACGCUUUUCUAAGGAAUGGUCUCAAUAUCGGGUGACCUGCCCAUCGUAAGAUUCUUAGAAAACUCCACGCUUUUCUAAGAAAUGGUCUCAAUAUCAGGUGCCCGGCCCAUCUUAAAAUUCUUAGAAAACUCCACGUUUUUCUAAGAAACAGUUUCAAUAUCAGGUAACCGGCCCCUCUUAAAAUUCUUUAGAAAUCUCCAUGCUUUUCUAAGGAAUGGUCUCAAUAUCGGGUGACCUGCCCAUCUUAAGAUUCUUAGAAAACUCCACGCUUUUCUAAGAAACGGUCCAAUAUCAGGUGACCGGCCCAUCUUAAGAUUCUUAGAAAACUCCACGCUUUUCUAAGAAACGGUCCAAUAUCAGGUGACCGGCCCAUCUUAAAAUUCUUAGAAAACUCCACGCUUUUCUAAGAAACGGUUUCAAUAUCAGGUAACCGGCCGCUCUUAAAAUUCUUUAGAAAAAUCCACGCUUUUCUAAGGAAUGGUCUCAAUAUCGGGUGACCUGCCCAUCUUAAGAUUCUUAGAAAACUCCACGCUUUUCUAAGAAACGGUCCAAUAUCAGGUGACUGGCCCAUCUAAAAAUUCUUAGAAAACUCCACGCUUUUCUAAGAAACGGUUUCAAUAUCAGGUAACCGGCCUCUCUUAAAAUUCUUUAGAAAACUCCACGCUUUUCUAAGGAAUGGUCUCAAUAUCGGGUGACCUGCCCGUUUUAAGAUUUUUAGCAAAUACUCCAUGCUUUUUUUCAAAAAAAAAAAAAGAUCUCAAUAUUGGGUGACCUGCCCGUUUUGAACUUCAAAAGAAAUCAUCUUACCUCGUGGAAUGAAGCAAUGCUGGUUCACAAUUCCUAUCAUUUUCCAUAGUUUCGUUGACCUGAGAUUUUGUACCUCAGCAGUUCCCAAAAAACUUGGAAAUUUAUUUUGUCUUUCGUCACGCCUUUUCCUGCCAGGUUAGUGUUAUGACAAUAUAGCAUGCAUGUUUUUUUGUUACCUAUUUUGGAAACAUAGGUCCCCCUUUCUGUUGUAGACUUAUUGAGCUCUUGUUUCCACUUGUUUUGUCCGACUUGUCCUCUUAAAACAAAAUAUGCUCCACGCGCUAUACUUCCUAUCCUUUUGGUGAAGAGAUCUUUGGUUCCUUAUGGGGCCCUUUAUUGCUCCACUGAGUAUUGUCUUUUUAUUAUUAUUUUAAAAGGAAAACUCAAAAUAUUUGGUUGUUCAUGAAAACUGAAACUUCAAUGCAAUUGGCAAUUCUCAUAAGAGACGCUUUUUCUAGAAAUUUUUAUGAUGAUACCCCUUUUGGCUUUGGUUCACUAUGGACCCCUAUGUGCACUUCGUACACUUCUUGCCCCCAGUGUGGUGUGCAUAAAUACGCCAAGUUUAGAUUUGAUUUGGUUCCCUCCAAUUAAUGGAGUCAUUUCCUUAGUCAUGUGUAAGAAAAGAGUUUGUUUAAGUAAAAGAUUUCAAAUGCUAUGAGAUCAUGCUUUUUAUGAAAAAAGGUUUUUUUACAAAGGAAAUUCAUGGCCAAACUUUAUUUUAUUGAUUGGGAGAUUACAGAAUACAUCAAGCGUAAUAUUUCCUUACAGAGUCAGAAUUCACUGGCCUAACUAGAUCUUCUCCAUCCAUUCUAGAUAACAGCAAAGCUACUCCCGAGAACGCUUUCUUCACCAUGUAAGGGCCCUCAUAGUUCGGCGCCCAUUUACUCUGAUCUUCUCCUGGUAAAGGCAAUAUUUUCUUCAGUACGAGAUCUCCUUCAUGGAAUCCUCGAGGUCGAACCUUUUUGUCGUAUGAUUUGGCCAUCCUUCUUUGGUAAAGUUGAUGAUGACAGAUUGCAGCUAUCCUCUUUUCACUGAUCAGAUUCAGCUGUUCAUAUCUAACUUUUGCCCAUUCUACCUCUUCCAGCUCAGAAUUUACCAGUACUCUCAAUGAGGGGAUUUCCACUUCUAAAGGCAUAACCGCCUCCAUUCCAUAUACCAACGUGUACGGGGUGGCUCCUAUUGAGGUUCGGACUGCGGUGCGAUACGCAUGAAGGGAAAAUGGCAACAUCUCAUGCCAAUCCUUAUAGGUGACUACCAUCUUCUGAAUAAUCUUUUUGACAUUCUUGUUAGCAGCUUCUACCGCACCAUUCAUCUUUGGUCUAUACGGCGAAGAGUUGGAAUGCUUGAUUUUCCAUUUAGCGCAGAGUUCUAUUAUCAUCUUGCCAUUGAAAUUCUGGGCAUUAUCAGUUAUAAUCUUUUCUGGUGGACCAUAUCGACAAAUCAAAUCUCUCUCAAUAAAUUUCUUCACUACUUUUUGCGUCACAUGAGCAAAUGACCCGGCUUCUACCCAUUUUGUAAAGUAGUCGAUAGCCACGAGAAUAAACCUAUGACCAUUGCUGGCUUUUGGGUUUAUAGGUCCAAUCACAUCAAUUCCCCACUUCGCGAAGGGCCAUGGAGAUGUCAAGUUAAAUAGAGGAGUUAGAGGGGCAUUGAUUUUGUCACUGUAUACUUGGCACUUAUGACAUUUUCGGACAUAGUCGAUGCAAUCCUUUUCUAAUGUCAUCCAGAAGUAACCGGCUCUUUGUAUCUUCCUAGCCAUCACGUGUCCAUUAGCAUGGGUUGAGCAAAUCCCUUCAUGGACUUCUCGUAACGCGCUUUUUGCCUCAAAUUCAUCCAAACAUCUCAACAAAGUCCCGUCGAAUGAUUUCUUAUACAAAAUCUCCCCAUCAAGAUAAAAAUCCAUUGCCAACCUCCUCAAGGUCUUCUUGUCGAUUUUGGAUGCCCCCAUGGGAUAUGCCUGGUUUUGGAUGAAAUUCUUGACAUCAUAGUACCAAGGGUUUCCAUCCACUUCUCUUUCGACUGAGCAACAAUGAGCUGGGUUAUUUCUGAUAUUGAUGUGUACUGGUUGUACCCUGUGCCCGAAGUCUAUUUUGGCCAUAGAUGCUAGUGUAGCCAAAGCAUCUGCAAACUGGUUUCCUUCCCUUCCUAGAUGGGUGAACUCUAUUUCCUCAAAUUCUCCAGCCAGUUUAGAUAGGUAUUCUUGGUAAGGCCUUAACUUCUCUUCCUUGGUUUGCCAUUCUCCUUUUACUUGACAAAUGAUCAGCAUUGAGUCUCCAUACACAUCUAUCUUUCUGAUGUUUAGCUCCAAUGCAGCCUCAAAACCGAGAAUGCAAGCUUCAUACUCAGUCGUGUUGUUGGUACACCCGAACUGUAGCUUAACUGAAACCGGAUACUGCUUCUUAUCAGGAGAGAUUAUCACCGCACCCGCUCCGUUACCACAUACAUUUACAGCACCAUCAAAGUACAUAAUCCACCAAUCUGAUUUCUCUUCCUCGAUUGCAAGCACAUCUUCAUCAGGAAAUUCAAAGUCUAAUGAUUCAUAAUCUUCCAUAGCAUGGUCAGCCAGGUGAUCGGCAAUAAUACUCCCUUUUACAGCUUUCCUUGUCAUAUAUAUUAUGUCAUACUCAGCCAAUAGAACUUGCCAUCUUGCAAUUCGGCUCGAUAAAUAGGGCUUUUCACAAAUGUACCUCAACGGGUCUAAUUUGGAAAUUAACCACGUAGUGUGAUACAACAUAUACUGACGUAAUCUCUUUGCAGCCCAUGUCAGUGCGCAACACAACUUCUCAAUCACAGUAUACUUAGACUCACAUUCCGUGAACUUCUUGCUCAGGUAAUAAAUGGCCCUUUCCUUCCUUCCGGUUUCAUCGUGUUGCCCAAGCACACAUCCCAUUGCUGUUUCUGUUACUGUUAGGUACAAUAUCAAUGGCCUUUCUGGUACAGGAGGAACAAGCAGGGGUGGAUUUAACAAGUACUGCUUGAUUUUCUCAAAAGCCUCUUCGCACUCUUCAUUCCAAUUUCCAGGGUUCUUCUUCCUUAACAAACGAAAGAUCGGGUCACAAGUCGUGGUUAAUUGGGAUAUAAAUCGAGCAAUGUAAUUCAACCUUCCUAAGAAACCUCUCACAUCCUUCUCAGUCUUGGGAGGUGGCAUAAAUUGAAUAGCCUUUACUUUGUCGGGAUCCACUUCUAUCCCUUUAUCACUCACCACAAAUCCCAACAACUUCCCAGAUUUCACCCCGAACGAACACUGUGCCGGGUUAAGUCUCAACUUAUAUUUCCUUAAUCUUUCAAACAAUUUCUUCAAUAUUUGGACAUGAUUCUCUCCCUCUCUAGAUUUAGCAAUCAUGUCAUCCACGUAUACUUCAAUCUCUUUGUGCAUCAUGUCAUGAAACAAAGUCACCAUAGCCCUUUGGUAGGUGGCCCCAGCAUUCUUUAAACCAAAUGGCAUGACUUUGUAGCAAAAUGUUCCCCAUGGUGUUACAAAGGUUGUCUUCUCUUUAUCCUCUUGCGCCAUUUUUAUCUUAUUGUAGCCCGAAAAUCCAUCCAUAAAGGAAUAUGUGGAGCUACGUGCUGCAUUAUCAACUAACAUAUCUAUGUGUGGUAGAGGAAAAUUAUCUUUAGGGCUAGCCCGGUUUAAGUCCCUAAAGUCCACACAAACUCUGAUUUUACCUUCCUUUUUGGGUACCACCACUAUGUUUGACACCCAUUGUGGAUACUUGACUACUUCCAAAAAACCAGCGUUCCAUUGUUUUUCAAUUUCUGCUUUUACUUUGAUUAAGACCUCCGGAUGAGUUCUCCUCAACUUCUGCUUAAUCAGUUUGCAUCCUUCCACCAGUGGUAUCCUAUGUACUACGAUAUCCGUAUCCAAACCAGGUAUAUCCUCGUAGGACCAAGCAAAGACAUCUAUGUAAUCUCGAAGCAGUGCAAUCAAUUCUUCCUUCUCUUCAGGGGUGAUCAAAGUCCCUAUUUUCAGCUCUCUCUUGAUUUCUUCAUUACCCACAUUUAUGGUUUCAAGUUCCUCUUUAGCGGGCCUCCAAGCCUGUUCAUGCUGUUCUAUUAAUUUUGUGAAUUCACUUAUGUUUUUCUCCUCCCAUUCCUCAUCUUCUACAGCUACUAUGUAUUCUUUAAAGUUUGGCCAUUCAUUCUCAAUGUAAAGUGCAGGUGUUGUUGUGGAGGAUCCACUUUCAGGGUUCCUGAAAGCGGGAAGUGAUGUGUAAAUGCACAGUAAGACAUCAAGAUGAAUUUUGAAAAUGCAUGAUCUCAUUAAAAGGAAAAGAUUGGCUCAAAAACAAAAAUAAAAUCCAAUUGACAUCUUGAGCUUCGAUUGUCAAUGAAAAAAAAAAUAGAAAGAAAAAAAAAGGCAAACAACAUAGAUAAAAUUAUAAUCUAAUAAUCAUUGUUGAUUACAUUUUGAGAACCAAUGGAGCUUCUUGGGUCUCCCAAUUCUGGAACUUCUCUCCUUCGGCUAGCUUUCGAAUGAAAGUCUUGGCGGUAAAUUCUUCCAGAGUGUAGAUGGUUAAUUGCGGUAGCUCUUCAUCCCUUCUUCCGGAUUCAAUCUUCUUAGCAAUGUCCUCGACUUGAUCUCCCUCCAAAGUGUUUAUGUUCAUUGAAAAAAACUUCUGAAGAAGGUUUCCAUGUCCCUUAUCAGGUUGCAUCUCAUAUGCGGCCUUUGGAAAAGAAAUCCUGAUUGGAGGGAUAGCUAAGCUUUCUUCUUCAGGCUUCCUUCCUUCAAUCCUAGCCAUUCUUUUCUCCCUUCUUGCACCAGCAGCUCGCUUGUAAUCCUCUUUCUUGGGCUUAUAAUCAAGCCCAAACCUCUGUUCUGUAGCUUUCAGCUUGAUUAUAUCAAUCCAUUCAAGUCUUCCUUUCUUGAUGUCAUAUGGGCAAGGAAUCUUGUGUUUCAAAAAGCUUUUAGCGGCUAUUUUGGUGGCCUCCGAGAUUUCUGGUUUCCUCACCACAGUGUUCUCGGGCACCCACUCGAUAUUCACAACUUCAAAUGCAUGAAGGUUUCCAUCCUUACAAUCUUCGGCUUCGAUGAAUGGAACCGCCACAUUUCUUACCAUUGAUAUAGUCUCCUCAGCCUUAACAGUAACCAGAACACCAUUGGCAAUGUACUUCAAACAUUGAUGCAGUGAGGAGGUGACAGCUCCCGCAGAAUGUAUCCAUGGCCUUCCUAACAACAUACUAUAGGAAGGGUGGAUAUCCAUCACUUGAAGGGUUACUAGAAAGACUUGUGGACCCACAGCUAGUUCGACCUCAAUUGUCCCUAUCACUUGCCUUGGCGAGCCAUCGUACGCUCUAGCCGUCAUCACACUGGGUUGCAUAUGUGAGGGAUCUACUGGCAUUUCAUCCAGCAUAUGCCUUGGUAACACAUUAAGGGCUGAGCCGUUAUCAAUGAGAACUUUACCAAUGAGACAAUCUUUGCAUCGAACCGUGACAUAUAAGGGCUUGUUAUGUCCCGUUCCUUCAGCGUCAAGUUCAUCUUCCGUGAAAUAUAAGUAAUUAGCAGCAUGGAUCCUCCCUACUAGAUGCUCCAUAGUUUUUUGUUCAAUAUCUUGGGGUACGUAGGCCUCAUUCAGUACUUUUUGCAAAGCAUUACGAUGCGGCUCGGAGCUAAGUAUUAAUGACAUGAUGGAGAUCUUGGCAGGGGUCUUCUUCAACUGAUCCACUAUACAAUACUCACUAUGCUUCAUCAAUUUCAGGAACUCAUUUGUUUCUUCCUCAGUCACAGGUUUAUUUACCUCGAGCUCUUUAUCGAGGUCCAAUACCUCCUUGCCUUUAGCCUUUCUUUGCUUCUCUAGUUCUUCAGGUGUGAAACAACGACCACUCCGAGUUAGCCCACUUAUCUCAUUUUGGAACAAUGACAAAGGAGUUUCGACAUUCGAGGUAUAACCAUAAUCUCCAGGCAUCGCUCCAUAGUCUACUUUGUUUGCAUACGAGGGCUUAGUUAAUACCAAUUUCGAGAGCCCAUUAGCUGUUGAUUGGACUCUACAUUUCCCCCGAUUCUCUAUCAUCUCUAUCUCUUCAUUAUCUUUUACAGCCCCAAUCCUUAACUCUCCUAAAGUCAGCAUUCUCACAACCUUUUGAUGAAACUCAAUGCAUUCAUCAAUGUGAUGCCCUUUCUUUCUAUGGAAUGGGCAAAAAUCAUCUUCCCUUAUGCAAUGUUCAGAUGGUUUCUCCAAAUGUCCAGAUUGUACCAACAUUUCAUACAGCCUUGCCAUGGUCACUCUCAGCACCUUCUCUUUACUACCGACCUCCAUAGUAUUCACUCCACUACCACCUACAGCAUGUUUGGGUAGAGGGUUUGAAUUCACAUUAGGCGAAUCUUCAAAAGUGACCCUUCCGAUUUUGAUCAACUGCGAUACCCUUUUCUUAAAAGCUACGCAGUUUUCGAUGUUGUGACCCGUAUUACUAGCAUGGUAUUCACAAGUCAACUCGGGGUUGUACCAGGUAGGGAAAGGCGGUUGCAUAGGAGGUAAUGGUAGGGGAGCUAUCUGCCCAAUACUUAGUAACUUGGCAUAUAACUCCUUUAGGGUUAUUGGCAAAGGUGGUAAUUGUUCUUCUAGUUGUCGGUUGUCUCUCCUUUGGUAAUUGUUUUGGCUAUUGGUGGGGAAUUUUGUUUGAUGGGGUUGGUUUGGGACGGAGGGUUUGGAAAAGUUGAUGCUAGUGAUUUGGGAGGUAGGUAUUUGGUAGUUUUGGUAGUUUUUUCCUCUCCCUUUAUAACUGUCUUCUAGGUUAUUUACCUCAAUUUCCUUCUUCUUCCCAACAAAACCCCUCUUCUCUAUAGGUUCCGCAAUUCUCCCACUUCGGAUUCCUUGCUCAAUCCUUUCAGCAAUUCGCACAGCAUCAUAGAAAUGUUGGGCUGAGCUACCCAUAAGAUGCUCAUAGUAUGGGGCCCUAAAAGUAUUGGCAAACAACGUUACCAUCUCCGUCUCUAUUAGUGGAGGUUGUACAUUGAUAGCUUGGUCUCGCCACCUCUGAGCAUAAGCCCUCACGGACUCUUGAGUUCCUUUCUCCAUGGUAAUUAGACUGGUCCUAUCAGGAGCAAUCUCAAGAUUGAACUUGUAUUGUUUUAAGAAAGCAUCUGCCAGAUCUGUCCAUUUCUUGAUCCUAACGUUGUCCAGCCUCAUAUACCAGCUGAGGGCCGAUCCUAUCAAGCUAUCUUGGAAGAAGUAAAUUAGCAACUUAUCAUCGUGGAUAACUUCUGCCAUCUUGUUAUAGUAGGAACGAAGAUGGGUCUUUGGGCAUUCCAUCCCGGUAUACUUAACAAACUCCGGCACUCUGAACUUCUUUGGAAUUACGAUGUUAGGUACCAAACAUACUUCAGCGGCCCUAAUUGGGUCAAAUAAAUCAUUUCCUUCAACUGCCCUUAGCCUCUCUUCUAGCGCAGUCCAUUUAUCAUACCCAACAUGAUCAGAGAAUCUGACGUCCUGUGGAUCCUCGUUUGUUAAAUCCAUUGUAAUAGGGAUUUGGAUGGGCCGAGUGGGAUUAGGAUGCUGCUUAUGUGGUGUAUUUGCCCCCAUGUUUAUAGGUGCGACAAGGAUUUGAGCUGCUGCUGGUGCUUCAUCAGUUUGAGUAGACGUUCCCUCUCCAUCUUUGGCUCUCAACAUUUGCUCAAGCAAACUGGUCAGGUGCGCCACAUCAUUCCGAACUCCUUCAAGUUCCCUUUGAUACUAAGCUUCUGGUUGUGACCUUUCUUCAUUUUCCAUCCUUUUUCUUUGUCGAGUGUUGUGGAUUCUAGAAGGGGGACCUAUGUUUCUUAGUCUGCAGAUGCGUGUAUAGAUGUAUGAGAAAAUGCAUGAUUGAGAAUGCUUUGUAUAUUAGGUAUGGAUGCAACCUUCUUGUGAACGAAUAAUAGCCACCACCUUAUAAACAUAGGUUCUUUUGUCACAUUGCUAGGAGUACUGCCUUUGAAGUCGUUUGCUUGAAUCAUAUUCACCAAGAGACAGAUUUUGCAUAAGAAGAUGGGUCAACGCCCUUUUCAUUAAUGCUUGAUAAGUUUAUUACAUUAAUAAAUAAAAAGGAAAUACAAAAUUUAUUAAUCCCUUUCCUCCACAAACUCUCUAGCCAAAGGUAAGAAGGCAAAACCACGGUUCUCAAUCUUCCCUAGAAAGACAUCGGUUUCAGCUAGGCUUCGGCGAUAGCGAAUGAUAUCCCCUCCCACAUUCCGCGCAUUAAUUCUAAUAAUUCGAGCAUGUGCAGCAGCUUCAUCCAUUUGCUCAUCUGUCUUGGUCAUCUUUUCUAUGAGCAACAUAUUGGUUCUGUUCAAAGCAGUGUUGUUGGCGUCGAUUUGAUCCUUGUGUUUUUCCAUUGCUGCUAGCUUCUCGUCCAAAUACUUCACCUUUUCACGUUCCUUAUCAAGUUUUAUCCUCAUAACUUUUAUCUCAUUCCUCUUAACCGCUAAUUCUGUUUCAAAAGCCUCAAAACCUUUCCUUUUAUUAUCUUUUUUUGCAAUCCCCAUUAAACGGCUUUCCAACUCCAUAUAUUUCUUGUUCAAAUCCUCAUACUUCCCAAUCCUAUCCAUCAAUUCAAACUGGACUUGUGCAAAUUUUUCUUGGAAAUAUUCUGCACUUCCUUGGCAAUCGUUAAAGUCAAUCUCCAUUGCUUCAAGUUCAGAGCAACUUUGCAUCCAAUCCAAACUCAUCCCUCUUAGCUCCUUCUCACUCUUUUCCCUAGCAAUCUUCUCCUCACCCAGCUUUAACUCAAGCUUUGUUAUUCGCGCAUCUCUAGAUUGUAUUUGCUCAUCUAGAAAUGCUCUCCUUUUAUCUUCUUUUAGCAUCAUUUCUUCCAACAUUGCCUUAUCUUUUCUGCUUUUGCUCAACUCUGUCCGAAGUUUUUCCACUUGUCUUCUCAACUCCUCUUCAUUAUUGACCCUUUUCCUCUUAACAGACUCUUCUAUAGUUUGGGGAGAUUUAGCCUCUACACAAGGCAUGGCUAAAGCAGCUAAGUCUCUCCAUCUUGCAUAUCCUUCGCUUGCACUUGGAUCCUUUAAACCUUCUAUCUCAACCAAAACCAGAUGCUUCCAAUCUUGUUUGAUGAUCUCCAAAACUUCUUGUGCAAUGGGAUCUUUGAACAAACCAAAGAAUUGAGCAAUUCCCAUAGUCCUUGGAACAAACUGCAUGCCCCCAAGUUGCCUUACCACCAGGGCAGGAGCAUAACUUACAUAACCUGUAAUCCCUACCAAUGGUACCCAACGUCUUUGUCCACAACUCAUUAGGACUUUCACUAUCGUUACCCAUGGGGCUCUCCACUUAAAAUCACUAUUAGGCAAACCUUCUAAUUUGUCAACCCAACCUUGGUUGUCUAGAUCCACCCAUUCUUCUUCUUCUACUAACUUCAGGGGUCUUUGGGUGAACCACCAAAAAUUAUUGAAGACGGGUUUUUUUGUUUCGAUAUGGCUAACCAUCCAGAUAUACAACAACUGCGUGCAGCAUCUCAUUGCCCCUUUUCCGGUCCUCCUACAAUGAUUAAGCGUCAAGAUGGUUUCAGCUAAAAUCGCAGCCACUGGAUUGAUUUGUGUAUUCUCAUACUCUACAUAAGCAGCAGCGGCCUCCAAACUCACUAAACCCGUCUGACUUGGAAACAACACAAGGCCAAAUAUGCCCAAGGCAAUCAAUCUCUCUUUUUCUAAUCCUGACUUCUUUUCCAGUUCAAUUUCUAGCAUCCUCCAUUUCAGACCGGUAGCAUUCUUUUCCAAAAACUUUUCCAAGUUGGAGAUUCUGAGCAGUUUUGACAGUUCGGGGAUGAUCUUGUCAGAUCUCAAAGGCAAAUAAAUCCGAUACAGAUUGUUUGGAAACUCAGUCAACAUCCCAUAUUCCUCCAUAGUGGGACAUAGGUCUAUACUUCCAAAAGAAAAACACCGGUAGUCUGGAUCCCAAAAAUGAACUAUGGCUCGCACAGCUGGGCUUAAAACUUCUACCCUUGCAAUUUCCAUCAAACGUCCGUAUUUAUUAAAAAAUGCAUCCUUAUCCACAUUCUGAAAGUGAGUCGUUAACUUGUUCACCUCAUUCAUAAUGCAAUUCAGGUUCUUGAUUGGUGACAGUUUCUUAGCAUCGCUUCUAAGGCAGUCUCCUUCAGUCAAUUGUGACAGUUCAGAAUUUUUCCCAUAUUCUAUGAUGGAAAAUUUAGCAAUGGUGGCCAUUUCGUUCACAAGUCCUGCAAUUCAAAAUGCCUUGGGGUUAGACUUGUUUUGAUACAAAAGAUAUUAUGGAUCAUACAACCUAAGGAUAGGUUCUAGUUCCUUUACGUGAGACAUAGGGUAGGUUUACUACUUGGUCUCUAAAAAAGGGUCUCUUGCUGUCCCAGUGAUCGCCCUCGUAAAGGCAAUAUGGGGGUUCAGCAGAUAGUGGGAUGGCACAUGUACCAAUCACUAUCAGUCUAAACACUCAGCAAAAAGUUGGGGUUUACACAAACUUAAACCUUGACUCAAGUCAUAAGGCAAGCUGCUAGUUCCCCACUUAGCUUAAAGUUAAAUGUGUGUGCCCUCAAAAAAAAAAAAAAUAAUAAAGUGAUGCAUGAUUAUACCAUGUAUGACAGAAUGUAAAGAUGCAUGCUAAAGCUUUUAAACAAGGUAUCAUUCAUAUAAGAAAACAAAAAUCAAUAACACAUAGCAUAAACAAACAAAUUACCAAGCCUAGUCCUAAGUCCCCAGUGGAGUCGCCAUCCUGUCGCACCCUCGCGGCGGAGCGCGGCGUCGCGGUGACCAUCGAUUGAUUUCGGGGUCUUUUUGUGUAAAGGAGUCGCCACCUAGUAUUAUGGUCACUAGGAAACCUAACUGGUCUUUCAGAGAUUCUAAGGCAAGGGACUGGUUGCGUAAAGGGAAGGUAUUAGCACCCCUAGUACGCCAUACCUAAGGUAAGCUGCUUAGUAUUUGGUUUGUCUUAUAAUUGCUAUGGUGUUGAUGUUUUCUAAUCCCAUCAGUUUUCUAGGUUUUGAUUCAAACUAAAUUUAUUAGGAUAGAAACCCAAGGAAGUUCCAUGUGCUUUAAAAGCUCAUUUUCCCCUUAGUUUUUCAAGGGUUUGCGACUCAUAAAUCGCAAGGAGGAGGGGCAAAAAUUUAGAAAUCUAGGGUGCUUUAAAAACCUAUUUUUUUUGUCUUAGUGUUUUAACUCUCACAGCUCGUAAAUCGUGGAAAAAAAAUUUGAAAUGUCCUCGAUUAUAAUCAAGGCUUCUUUCAAGGAUGUGUGCGGAUUUAUUACUCCCAAUAAUAUUUUGGAUAUUCGUCCUUUAAGGAUUUCUUUAUCCAAACAUUAGCGGUGAAUAAUAGAUGAAUUCCCCUCAAAAUAAGAUUUUUAUAUUUUUUGGAAUAUUGACCAAUACCCUUUGGAGUUUUACAAACAUGUUGUAAAAUCCAGAAAUGCAAGAAAAACAAUUUUUGGUGUUUAAGAAAUCCAUGCGAAAACACAUUUUCGAAACUUCCAAUGUUUUUUUGUGUAUAAAAAAAAGAGCGUUCAAAACAUGUUAGGGUAUUGGCCGUAUGCAACACGCAAGAAAAUAUUUUUUAUUUGAUCGAAACAUAAGCAUCACGGUAAUCACAAAUAAAGACAACAAGUCAUCACAUAUAUUUCAAAAAAAAUCAUAAGCCUUAAACAUUUCAGUUAAAAUAAAGCAGGAGAAAAAUAAAAAAAGAAAAGCGCUCCAAAGCCAAAACUCAUCAAAUAGAAUUUGAUCCAUCAAAUCACUCAGAGCCUAAACAUAGCAUGACCUAUUAUUUUCGACAGAAAAAAAAAACAAAAGAGUCCAUAUCACGUAAAAAAAAAACAACCCUUUGAACCCAAUCCUAUAGCAAAACCCCUGACUCCUUUUUCUGUCUGUGUUAAAAACCCAAACUGCGCCUAAAAGCCAACUAUUCCUAUGCAACAUUCUAACAGAGAGCACUCGGACAAAGAAAUGAAGGAAUAAUGAAGACCCUUAAAGUUUAAAAUUCCUCUCAAUAAGAGAGCAAAACAAACGCAACUCUAACAUAUAUAAAAAAAUCUUAACUCAAAGACACGGGAGGGACAGUGGGCAAGCAUGCAAAUUUGUAGCUAAGAUAGAAAACGAAGGUGCAAAACCAGAAGACAAAACAGUUUUUAAACAUCAAAAACAAGGACCUGCAGGUCUCACUGAAAUGUCUUAUUGCAGCAGCUGAAAUCAAAACCAAACGAACGUUGCUGACAGAGUUUAGAGCAAAACCCGACUCACGCCUCUCCUUUUUCAAAGCAAUGCAGGUCUUACUGAAAUGCUUUACUGCAGCAGCUAAAUAUAAACCAAAUGAACGUUGCUGUCAAGGCUUAGCAGCAAAGCUCCCUCUCCGUCUUGUCUUUUUUUCCUCCUCUUUCCUCACAGUAACUCAAGAAUGCAAGAAAGAAACUCUCUCUGUUUUUCUGCUUUUUUUCUACUGCCUCUCUCUUGCGUUUUUCUUGUCUUUCUUUUCCUAUCCUCUCUCCCGUUCUCUCUUUUUCUCUUAUUUUUCUGCUCCCUUUUUUUGCUAUUUUUUUGCUCUCUUUUUGCCGCCCCUUGCUAGGUCAUUAGAGGGGUUUAUAUAUAGUCUAGAAUAUCUCUAUUUAGGAAAGAUUUAAUGCAUUAAUUCUAGGACAUAAAUCCCUACUGAUUUGCAGUAAAAAAACGCAAAAGGAAGCUGCAAUAUUCUGAUUUUGUGCUGGUGCUUUACGUCUGAUUUCUUUCCAGUUUUAGAGGAGGGUGUGGCUAUUUUCUUUCCUUCCAUAGGGCCAGCUGCUCCCUUUCAAAUGAGGCAAGAAAAAACGUGGUUGCAGCUCCAAAAUUCAGGCAUGAUGAUAAAGGAAAAACAGCAGGAAUUUGCAGCAAAAAAAAGGAAAGAAAUCAGAUGGAGGGUGCAGCUGCAAAGUCUCAUUUUCCUUAUUCGGUGUGGAAAAAUUCCUGUCAUUUAUGAUGAUCCAGCCCCCUCUCCAGCUUUCAAUAUCCUUCUUCAAUUCAAUCCCUCAUUUUAACAAUUUUUGAUUCAGUCCUGGGUCCAAAAAAAAUCCUUCGAAUCAGCCCCGCGAACUUGGGCUAUAUCCUUCCCGCGGCAGAAUUUUCUGUCCUCACGUUAGAUAUUCAAAUGGGAAUAUCUUGAGCUUCUGAUAUCAAAAUCAAGUGAUUCAAAAGCCCAAAUUCAUCUACACGUCUAGGACUAAAACUUUAAUGAAGAAGUCGAAGUGAGAUAAAAUCUUUUUACAGAACAGAAACUGGCAGUAAUCUAGUUGGUCAAAAGGAAUCUCCGGGUCUAACUCAAAAACUGACGAAUGUCGAGAAUCCUGAUAUGACUGAGAGUAUGAACUAAGAACGAAAAUCACAAAAACUAGGCCAAAAAUAGAGUUUCUUUAGUGUAGACUCGGGUCAAUAUCCUUCUCGCGGCAGAAUUCUCUGCCUUCACGUUAGAUAUUCAAACGGGAACAUCUUAGGCCUCUGAUAUCGAAAUCAAGUGAUUCAAAAGCCCAAAUUCAUCUACGCGUCUAGGACUACAACUUUGAUGAAGGAGUUGAAGUGAGAUAAAAUCUUUUUACAGAACAGAAACUGGCAGUAAUCUAGUUGGUCAAAAGGGAUCUCUGGGUCUAACUCAAAAACUGACGAAUGCCGAGAAUCCUGAUAUGACUGAGAGUAUGAACUAAGAACAAACAUCACAAAACUAGGCCAAAAAUAGAGUUUUUUUAGUGCAGACUCGGGUCAAUAUCCUUCUCGCGGCAGAAUUCUCUACCUUCACGUUAGAUAUUCAAAUGGGAACAUCUUGAGCCUCUAAUAUUGAAAUCAAGUGAUUCAAAAGCUCAAAUUCAUCUACGCGUCUAGGACUACAACUUUGAUGAAGGAGUUGAAGUGAGAUAAAAUCUUUUUACAGAACAGAAACUGGUAGUAAUCUAGUUGGUCAAAAAGGUUCUUGAUCUGACAAUACUGAGCAUCCAAAUCUAAAUGAGAAUCUGCUCUAAGAACAAUGAUCCCUAGGACCUAAUAAAGGUGUACGUCAAUUUUUCAAUAUGUAAUGAGUGACAGGAUAUACCUAGGAUGGUCAGAUAUCGUACGAAACUGAGUCAGAAUCAGAGCCUAAGUUGGAACCAAAAAAAUUGCGACAGCAGCAGAACUAUUUUUUUAGUGCAAAUUCUGAGGGAUUUAUUCAACCUUAAAGACCAGAUAAAAAAUAAUGAAUUUAGCAUUAUGAAGACUCCUGAUCAAACUAAGAAAACCUGAUGAUUUUGGUAGUAAAGGGGAAGGAUAAAAAGAGCAGAAAACAACUCAAACAAGGUUUUAAAAUAUUUCUUUAUGUGCCUUUGUCAAUCUUUUGGUGAAUAUGAGCUAAACUCCUACACUCUGUUCAAAAGAGGUAUACACUGUCUUCAGCACGUGGGGUCCAAAAUUGAGUAACAACAACUGUUUCUACUCCAUUCUGCAACGUUGAUUUUGCUACUGCUUCAACAUUUUCUGCUAUUUUCUUUGCUAUUGUUUCAUCUUCCCUGCAAUUAUCUGCUAUCAACUUCUGUUUUCUACUCAUCUUCUGUAAUAUGGAUCCUUUGUUUUUUGCUACAGUUGGCACCACUAGCAGUCCUUCUUCUCCCAACAUUAAUGUUGUCACGCUUCCCUCUACUGCGACAGCAGCUGUUAUUCCACUGCCAAAUACACAGCAGGCCAUCAACCUCAAACUCACCAAUUCCAAUUAUUUAUUUUAGCGUAUGCAAAUGAAGCCAUAUCUGAUUGGCUAAGGGUGUUCUCGUUUGUCGAUGGCUCGUAUUCUUACCCUUCUCUGCUUGAUCUGUCCAGUCACUCUACUGUCACCUCUACAAACAUUAAUUCUGGUCCUUCCUAAAUGUUUCUCUCAUGGAAACAACAAGAUUAACUCAUACUCAAUGCUUUACUCUCAUCCUUCUCCAUUGAUGUUCUUCACCUUGUGGUGGACUGCCCAACUGCAGCAAGUGUUUGGAGCACCCUUGAAAGUACCCUUACCUCUCCAUCCAACUCUAGGAUUAUGCAAUUAUAUGGCUCUCUUCAGGAUCUUCAUCAAGGUGAUGAUAUUGUCACUCUCUACCUGCAGAAAGCUAAAGGCUUAUUUGACGAACUAGCCGUAGCAGGCAGGCCUAUCUCCUUCACUGACUUCAAUCUCUAUGUUUUUCGAGGCCUUCGCGAUGAAUUUUGAGAUUUGGUUACUAGUCUGUUGACCAACGUUAAGCCUCAUCCAUACUCUGAGCUCCAUAGUUACUUGUCUACACAUGAAUUUUUACACAUGAGCUCUCUUCAAUCCAUUCCAGCUACUGCACCGUUGCUACCCACACCCUCCCUCUACAUAUGCUGCACAACGUGCCUUUGUUGGAUUUAAUGGCAGUGGCUCCUCUUCUUAUUGGGGUAGAGGAAGAAGAGGAGGCUGGAGAGGUAACUUUUGCAGCAAUUAUAACCAGUACCCUAGCCAGCCUUACUAUGGAAACAGUGGGAGCUCCUCCUAGCAGAACAUAGGAGCUACGACAUCAACAAAAACAAGGAGGGCAACACCAGUGGCCUCGACAGAUUAGAUGCCAACUUUGCAGCAACAUCGGACACUCUGCACAACAAUGUUCUUAGCUUGUGCAUAAUGGGAAUCAAGCUUCAACCAACCUCUCCUUUAGUGAUGCUUUAACAACAAAUCCUAUCACUUGGUUCCCCGAUACAGGUGCGAAUCAACAUGUUACUUCGAACAUUGUCGGUAUGACACAUGCAGACCCUUAUCUUGGUAAUGAUCAAUUGUAUGUUGGUGAUGGCAAGACACUUAUUAUAUCUAAUACAGCUCAUAAAAUUUUGCAUGCUCUAAAACGAACCUUUACUUUGUCUAAUAUUCUACAUGUUCUAAAAAUUAAGAAAAGACUCUUAUCUAUUCAACAAUUUUGUCAUGAAAAUUGUGUCUUUUUUAGUUUCACUCUUUUUUUUUUCUAUAUGAAGGAUCUUAUAUCCAAGAUAGUGUCUUCCCCAGGCUUUUCUAUCUACCUUUGCUGAUGUUUGGCAUCGUCGUCUCGAUCAUCUCAGCUCUCAUGUUCUAAGUCUCUUAGCGUCAAAUAAAAAGGUUGUUUGUACUUCUUGUCCUUUAAAUUUUCAAUGUCAAGCUUGUCCGUUAGGCAAAUCAUCUCGUCUGUCUUUAGGCCCUACAGGUCAUCAAACAUCUGCUCCUCUUGAACUUGUUUUUAAUGAUGUGUGGGGCCUUACUCCUAUGUUAUCUUCGGAUGGUUUUUGUUAUUUUUGUUAUUUUUAUGGAUGCACAUACAAAUUUUAUCUGGUUUUAUCCUCUUGUCCUCAAAUUUGAUGUCUUCAAUAUGUUUCAUCUCAUCAAUUUCAAGUCUUCGUCGAACGACAAUUCUCUCGAAAAAUUAAAUUUGUUCAAACUGACUAGGUGCUAAAUAUCGUAAAUUAAAUUUAUUCUGUAAAACCAUUGGUAUUCAUCAUCACCUCAUAUGCCCACAUACGCUUGAACAGAAUGGUAUUGUUGAGCGUUGUCAUCGUCACAAUGUUGAAACUAGUCUUACCCUUCUUGGUCAAUGUAAGGCACCUUUAAAAUUUUGGACUUAUGCUUUUGAAACCUCUGUUUACCUCAUUAAUUGUAUGUCUACACCAGUUUUGCGCAAUAAAUCCCCUUUUGAAUGUCUGCUUCGUCAACCACCUAAUUGAUUUUUUAUGUACUUUCAGAUGUUUAUGUUUUCCCUUCCUUCGACCUUAUAAUGCUCAUAAGUUAGACUAUCGCUUUACUACAUGUGUGUUCUUAGGCUAUAGUUCAUCUCAUCUAGGGUAUCAUUGUCUGGACUUAUUGUCUCUACAUCUCCCGUCAUCUUCGAUUUAAUGAACAAGUGUUUCCAUUUCUCGAGUCUGCCCAUCUCCCUCCACCCACCAGCCAUACCCAUCCGCCUACCACUGUCACACACCUUCCCUCACUCACCAUCUUUCCGUCUACCACACCAUCAGCCCCACCACCAAUUUCCUUUAACCCUGAUGUCCCCUUAUCACCAUCUGCCUCCAUAUAUGUUGAUCAUUUUGCAAGUACAGAGUCUGCAACACCAGUGUUGUUUGUGUGUGCGUCUCCUCCAGCUGCUGUCUCUCCAGCACGGUCAUCCAGCUCUUCCUCUCCAUCCAAAUCAUCUACCAUGUCUUCACCAAGUCUGGACCUCUGUGUUGAUUUGUCCAGUUAUACUCUUGUGUGGCACCGUCCCCUAUUCAAACCCCUGCUCCUUCAGCACAGCGACAACACCCUAUGGUGCUGAGUCCCAGAUAUAACAGGACUGCCAACAUCACUUCAGUCGCUUAUUCUUCCUCAUAACCUCCAGCUUCACGGGUAAUGUCUCCCUCCACUCUCAAACCUCUUACUUUUAAGGAGGCCGACCGUUUUAUUUGUUGGCAUACUACCAUGAAGUCAUAAAUUGCAGCUUUACAUGCCAAUGGUACCUGGUACCUUUUGAUCCCUCCAUGAAUGUGGUUGGCUAUUGAUGGUUGUAUAAAAUAAAGUGUUAAACUAAUGGUGUUAUUGACCACUAUAAGGCUUGCUUGGUUGCGCGCGGGUUCACUCAACAGGAAGGCAUUGAUUACUCAAAAACCUUUAGUCUUGUUGUUAAACCAACUACUGUUCGAUUAGUUCUCACUAUUGUCAUGUCCAAAGGAUGGCAGAUUCAACAACUUGAUGUCCACAAUGCCUUCCUUUUGUAGACUCUACUUUGCGAAAUCAUGUUUGUCUUCUUCACAUGUCUCUAUACGGUCUAAAACAAGCCCCUCGGGCUUCGUACACCCACCUGAGUGACUUCCUUCAGAUUAUUGGUUUUCAGGCUUCCAAGGUUGAUACCUCUCUCUUUGUUCUGACAAGGAAUCAUGAUAUUUGCUAUUUAUUUCUCUAUGUCGAUGACAUCCUACUUAAUGGUAACAACUUUGCCUUAAUUCAUCGCCUUAUUACCUUACUGAGUUCAAAAUUUAAGCUAUGUGACUUGGGUAAUGCUUAUUAUUUUUUGAGAGUUAAGGUCACUCCUACUAGUGUGGGACUCAUACUGAGUCAGCAUAAGUAUGUUCUUGAUAUUCUUUGUCAUGCUGGUAUGUCAUCUUGUAAACCUGUCGAUACACCAGCCUUUGUUUCUAAGCUUGAUCUUUCGUCUACUAUGUUAUUCUCGGAUCCCACUCGCUUUUGAUAAAUUGUUGGUGCUCUUUAGUAUCUCACAUUUACUAGACCGGACAUUUGUUAUGUUGUUAACAAGGUUUGUCAGUUUAUGCAUACUCCUACUAAGAGUCAUUGGGCUGCUGUUAAACGUAUCUUACGCUACUUUAAAGGUAUGUCAUCUUAUGGCAUCCACCUUACUCGUGGCUCCUCUUUAUCACUUCAUGGGUUCACUGACGCAGUUAGAGCGGGGAGUGUUGAUGAUCGAAAAUCUACUCGAGGAUAUAUUGUUUUUCUUAGUACCACACUUGUUUCAUGGAAAUCUGGAAAGCAAUGCACUGUUGCUUACUCCUCCACUGAAGCAAAGUAUAAAGCUUUGGUUGAUGGUACUGCUGAGGUUCUUUGGUUACACUAUCUUCUGACAGAUCUGUGUUUUCCCCUAGUUCUGUUACUACUAUCUAGUACGAUAAUUUGGGUGCUACUUAUGUAUUUGCUAAUCUGAUUUUUUAUGCUUAAACAAAAGAUGUUGAAGUUGAUUAUCACUUUGUUCGUGACCGGAUGACCAAAAAGGAGAUUCAGAUUUGCUUCAUCUCCUCCAAAGAUCAAUUAGUAGAUGUUCUUACUAAGCCACUCUCUUACUCUAUAUUUGCUCUUUUAUGUUCCAAGCUUCAUGUGGAUAACUCACCUUCAACUUGAGGGGGUGUAUUAUGGAAUGUGUUAGAAUAGGAAAUAUUGUAUUAUUAAUGUAUUGACUUAUUAUGUGUAAUAUGCUACACCAUAACACAUGUACUACCCUAAUUAUAUAAAUAGCAGAGGUGGCAAUCUGACAUGAUCAAAAGAUUGAUGUCUUAUCCCAAGUGCAGGAGUAUCGAAGUAAUAAAUAACUCAGCAAGACCGAGGUCGAACCACAGGGAGGUGAACUAUAUAAAAUUAUAAACAAUAAAUGAAAAGGAGUUGAAAAGAACUUUUGAGAUGUGAUAUUGAUGUAAGGAUUAAACAAUGAUAAAACAAUUGUCAAUGUUAAAGGACCCACUAAUGGUAUUUCAAACAAGUAUAGUAUAAACUCUUUUUAUUACUCAACUGAAAACCACACACAAAGGAGGUUCCAAUCGAAUUAUAAAUUCUUAACAUGAUUAUAUUAAUUAUCUUAUUUGAGUAAUGUUAAUACUUGUAAAUGUAGUCAGGUAUUCAUGAUUAUUUCUUGCCCUGUUCUCCUGAGAGAUACAUUGUGUUCCCUAGUUUGCUUGUUGUUUGGCUUGUUGCUGGAUGUGGCUUGCUGGUUGCUGGUUGCUGGUUGUUGCUUGCUCCUCUCUGCCUUGCUUGUCAGGCCUGUUGAUUGCUAUUUGGCUUGUAGCUUGUUGCUUUUACUGUAGAAGCCUGUUCCCCCUUUUUGGGAUGUUUGGUUGGUCUGCUGGAUCGGAUCUUCUGUUUGUAUAAGGGCGCAUGUUCCCUAGUGAUUUUCGGUGUGCUUGUCCUGGGGAGGCUGUUCCCCUGCACACGCCUUUGUGUUGUACUUGUUUUGCAAGCUAAGCUUGCUUUGGUUUCUUUGCUUUAUGGUCCGGUUGCUUGUUCAGGGGAGGCUGUUCCCCAGCACAAGCCUUUUGUUUUCUUAUGUUCAGCAAGAUCUUCUUGCUUUAGUUUUCUAAGGGCAUAUGUUCUCCUUGGCUGCUGCUGCUGCUGUCUGUAAUGUUCUGCUGGUUUCCAGCUUGUAUUGCAAGCUUGUCUUGCUAUUUUCGAUCUAUAUACUUCUUACAUUUGAUAAAUAAAAAAAACAAAUCAAGUUCCUUUCAUAGCAUAGGUGUUGGUUAUACCAUAUAGUUGGCUAUGAAAGGGUCAAGUAUUUGUUGCACCUAGGCUUCUACACCACAAAUCUAGAUUAACCAUUUAACAAGCAAGGUAUUAAGAGUGAGUAAGACAACAAAUACGAAACAUGUUGGUAUCAAACAUUAAAAUCCAUGUUGAGUUUAUAUUAUACUUAUUCUUACACCAUUAGUGUAUCCUUUUCACCUUGACAAAAUUAACUUAGCUAAACAUCAUGAAGAAGAAAAACAUAAAUAAACAAUAUAAGAACAUGAACAUGAUAUAAGUUAACUAAGAAUAGUAAAGAAAAUGGAAAGCAUAAACAAGAGAUUGAUAUAACAUAAAAUAAAACUUGAACAUUAAAAUAAAAAGAGAGAGAGUGAUCUUGAUCUGAAAACCAAAAUGUCUAAAUGUAUGGUAAAUGCCUCCUUUUAUAGGCUAAAAUUCAGAACUAUUGAUUUGAUGACUAAUUAUUGAGUGGAUGGCCACCUCUUGACUUGGUGACAACCAUUGUCUUCUUGUCUGAACAAAACAUCAUUGCUAACGUUAGAAUUUAAACAGAUAGUCUACAUGAACAUUCUGGGCAUUUGUCUCAGCUUUCCAACAAAACAAGAAUGAGCUCAUUUGGAUAUCUAGAACUCUAGAUAUGAGCUGAACAUUGAACAGUGUUUGGGCUGCAAGACAGAUUCCAACUUCUCUUUUGUUGCUACAAUUUGAACUUGAAAAUGACCCAUUUGAAUUUGGACUCUUCAUUAAAGUUUUAGGCCUAUGUCUUAGCUUUCCAUCCAUAUAAACCAGACCUAAAUCCAAGUUAUACAGCUCCAGUUAUGAUCCAAUAACCGAAUGGUGUUCCAGUUUGAAUUGAACCAUCAUCUCUUCUUUAAGCUUAGCCCUCUUUUUGUCUUUUUACUUUCAAUAGUUAAACACAUCAAUCAAUCCUUUAAAUUGAGAGAUUUGCCUGCAUUCAAAAUGAGCAUUUACCAUAAAUCAAAGAUAUCUUAUGUUAUCGUGCUUGCUAUUAUAAAACAUGCUCAAGUUAGGGAAUUUAAUGAUAUUUUAAGUCCAAUAUGAUGAUAUAAAACCUUAAUGAAAAUGCACUUUUAAGUACUAAUAACUAUCUCAUUAGGUCAAGCCUCUCAAUUAUCACAAACCUUGUUUCAGCUAUAAAUAUUUCAUUUUCUUACUAACCUCACUUUCAACUUUCUUUUUAAACUCUAAAACUUUGCUAAGGUUUUAGAUCUUUCUUUCAUGAAAUGCACCGGACAUACCUGGGGUAGUCAAUGAUAAAUGUCACCACCAUAUAGAGAUAUCCACUGAUUGAUGCCUCAUUUAUUUUUCCAAUACAUCUAGGUGGAUGAGCUUUAUGUUAGUGUAUAUAUUUAAUUUAUUAAUAAAGAUUUUUUUUAUUUUUAAUAUUCAUCAAAUAUUUGAUUAAUGAAUCUAAUAUUUGAUAAUAAGUCUAGAGUAAGGAUAAAUUCAUUAAGACAAAAAUGCUUCGCAAAAAAAAUUAUAAAAUUGUCUUGAUCUGAAACAAAAUUUAAGCAUUAUAAAUAUAAAAAGAGAGAGAGAACAAAAGCAUAAUCUUGAUCUGAAAACUAAAAUAUCUAAAUACAUAAUAAAUAUCUCUUUUUAUAGAUGAAAAUUUAAAACCAAGAUCCCACCAGCAUCCUUGGCAGAAUUUACUCUAAGCGGUGAUGGUGGGAAAGAUUAUUACUAUAUAAGCCUUGUUGAUGGCUUUAACAUCCCAAUUUCGGUAACCCCGCAAGGAGGUUCUCCUGGCUGCAGUUCUACAAGCUGUGCAGCUAACGUGAAUGCUGUUUGUGAUCCUAGUUUAGCAGCGAGGGGGCCAGAUGGGACUGUGAUUGCCUGCAAGAGCGCGUGUUUGGCAUUUAACCAGCCGCAGUACUGCUGCACAGGAGAGUACAGUACACCUGACAAAUGUCCUCCUACCCAAUAUUCGAUGAUCUUCAAGUAGCAGUGUCCUCAAGCUUAUAGUUAUGCUUAUGAUGAUAAAUCGUGCACGUUUACUUGAAGAUCACAAACAGCAUUCACGUUAGCUGCACAGCUUGUAGAACUGUGCAGCCAGGAGAACCUCCUUGCGGGGUUACCGAAAUUGGAAUGUUAAAGCCAUCAACAAGGCUUAUAUAGUAAUAAUCUUUCCCACCAUCACCGCUUAGAGUAAAUUCUGCCAAGGAUGCUGGUGGGAUCUUGGUUUUAAAUUUUUACCUAUAAAAAAAAUAUUUAUUAUGUAUUUAGAUAUUUUAGUUUUCAGAUCAAAAUUAUACUCUUGUUCUCUCUUUCUCUUUAUAUUUGUAAUGCUUAAAUUUUGUCUCAGAUCAGGACAAUUUUAUAUUUUUUUUUGUGAAGCAUUUUUGUCUUAAUGAAUUUAUCCUUACUCUAGACUUAUUAUCAAAUAUUAGAUUCAUUAAUCAAAUAUUUGAUGAAUAUUAAAAAUAAAAAAAAAUCUUUAUUAAUAAAUUAAAUAUAUACACUAACAUAAAGCUCAUCCACCUAGAUGUAUUGGAAAAAUAAAUGAGGCAUCAAUCAGUGGAUAUCUCUAUAUGGUGGUGACAUUUAUCAUUGACUACCCCAGGUAUGUCCGGUGCAUUGCAUGAAAGAAAGAUCUAAAACCUUAGCAAAGUUUUAGAGUUUAAAAAGAAAGUUGAAAGUGAGGAUAGUAAGAAAAUGAAAUAUUUAUAGCUGAAACAAGGUUUGUGAUAAUUGAGAGGCUUGACCUAAUGAGAUAGUUAUUAGUACUUAAAAGUGCAUUUUCAUUAAGGUUUUAUAUCAUCAUAUUGGACUUAAAAUAUCAUUAAAUUCCCUAACUUGAGCAUGUUUUAUAAUAGCAAGCACGAUAACAUAAGAUAUCUUUGAUUUAUGGUAAAUGCUCAUUUUGAAUGCAGGCAAAUCUCUCAAUUUAAAGGAUUGAUUGAUGUGUUUAACUAUUGAAAGUAAAAAGACAAAAAGAGGGCUAAGCUUAAAGAAGAGAUGAUGGUUCAAUUCAAACUGGAACACCAUUCGGUUAUUGGAUCAUAACUGGAGCUGUAUAACUUGGAUUUAGGUCUGGUUUAUAUGGAUGGAAAGCUAAGACAUAGGCCUAAAACUUUAAUGAAGAGUCCAAAUUCAAAUGGGUCAUUUUCAAGUUCAAAUUGUAGCAACAAAAGAGAAGUUGGAAUCUGUCUUGCAGCCCAAACACUGUUCAGUGUUCAGCUCAUAUCUAGAGUUCUAGAUAUCCAAAUGAGCUCAUUCUUGUUUUGUUGGAAAGCUGAGACAAAUGCCCAGAACGUUCAUGUAGACUAUCUAUUCAAAUUCUGACAUUAGCAAUGAUGUUUUGUUCAGACAAGAAGACAAUGGUUGUCACCAAGUCAAGAGGUGGUCAUCCACUCAAUAAUUAGUCAUCAAAUCAAUAGUUCUGAAUUUUAGCCUAUAAAAGGAGGCAUUUACCAUACAUUUAGACAUUUUGGUUUUUAGAUCAAGAUCACUCUCUCUCUUUUUAUUUUAAUGUUCAAGUUUUAUUUUAUGUUGUAUCAAUCUCUUGUUUAUGCUUUCCAUUUCCUUUACUAUUCUUAGUUAACUUAUAUCAUGUUCAUGUUCUUAUAUUGUUUAUUUAUGUUUUUCUUCUUCAUGAUGUUUAGCUAAGUUAAUUUUGUCAAGGUGAAAAGGUUACACUAAUAGUAUAAGAAUAAGUAUAGUAUAAACUCAAUAUGGACUUUAAUGUUUGAUACUAACAUAUUUUGUAUUUGUUAUCUUAUUCACUUUUAAUACUUUGCUUGUUAAAUGGUUAAUCUAGAUUUAUGUUCUAUAACCCUUGGUACAAAAAAUACUUGGUACUUUCAUAGCCCAAACCGUAUGGUAUAACCGACACAUGUGCUAUGAAAGGAACUUGAUUUGUUGUUAACAUAAGUUAUAAUCAUGAAUAUCUGACAACAUUUACAAGUAUUAGCAUUAUUCGAAUAAGAUAGCUAAUGUAAUUAUGUUAACAAUUUAUAAUCUGAUUGGAACCUCCUUUGUGUGUGGUUUCUAGUUGAGUAAUAAGAGUUUAUACUAUACUUGUUUGAAAUACCAUUAGUGGAUCCUCUAACAUUGACAAUUGUUUUUAUCACUGUUUAAUCUUUCAAUCAAUCUUACAUCUCAAAGUCCUCAUUAUUAUUAUUAUUAUUAUUAUUAUUAUUAUUAUUAUUAUAGUUAACCUCUAUGUGGUUCUACCCCGGUCUUGCCGAGUUAUUUAUUACUUCGACACUCCUGCACUUGACAGAAGACAUCAACUAUUUGGUCGUGUCACCUUCCCUUCCCUUUCUUCCUCUCUCUCUAUCCUUUCCCUUGUUUCCUUCUGCUCUCCUUUUCUUUCCCCUUCUAUUUCUCUCUUUCUUUCUGUUUUACUCUGUUCUCCUCUCUAUAAUCUCACUUGUCUCCCCCUCCAGCUCCUCUCUCGCCCUAGUAUUUAUAAGAUGGAAAAGGGGGGGAGAGGGCUGCUAUCCUUGUCCAGUCAUGGUGUAGGGGUAGGGUGGCUAUGGUGGCCUACCCCUAGAGCCACUUGCAGGGAAUGGCUCUCCUGGCUUUUUCAUCAUGGUGGUAAGCCAUGAGGGGGUGUGGGUUGUGUUGGGGUUUUGGGUUUUUGGGAGAGAGAGAGAAAUGAAAGUUGCAAAGGAGGGGAAGAAAAACCUUCUUCCCCUGCCUUUGCACGUUAGGGAAGAAGAAGACACAUAGUGCCAUUCAAAACAAAAUUAUUUUGAACUUUUUUUUAUUGAAUAGUGCAUGAAACAAUUAGAAAACAAUUAGAAAGAGGACUUUUCUUAAACCUUAGACAGACCAACAAUUAGAAAACACAACAAUACUUUAGUUAUAUCAGACAAUGCAGCUUACCUUACGUAAGAUGUAUUAGGGGUGCUAAUACCUUCCCUUUACGCAAUCAAUCCUCGUGCCCAAUCUCUGAGAGUAGUUGGGGUUCCUAGUGACCAAAAUAUUAGGUAGUGACUCUCAUUCCCUCUUUCUAAGGAUAAAAGACGAGAAUUCUUUAUCCUGUCCAUUUCCCCACACCACAUGGCAAUAUGGAAUUCUAGGAGGACAUUCACUAUGAUGUCGCACCACAUGCGACAAUUGAGAAAGGGGAUGGUUGGAUUUUGGUCUUGACUUGAGUUGUUUUGGUUGUGAUAUUCAUGAUCGAUGUUGCUGCUAGCAUUAUUAAUGUAUGUCAUUGGCAACUGCUAUCAUUAGUUGGAGGGAGUAGUUGUUGUUGUUCUAGGAUUCAAGCAAACACCUAAAGGGAGGUGAAUUAGGUGUUCCACUAAUAAUAACAAAUAUUAAAAUUAAUUCAAUUAAACACAAUUAACCAACAAUAUAAUUAGAUUGUGUAAAGUGAAGAGUAAAGGGAUAGGAAUUGUAAACUUGAUUUUUAAUGUGGUUUAGCGAGUUUAUAUACACAUCUCAAGCACCAAAUUGGUCUUGUGUAUUUUUUUCUUGCACUAGUCCAAAUUAAAGAUUAGAAUUUUCAUUUGAUGAAUCCACAUCAAGAUUUUAAACCACUUGAAGAUCAUUUCUUUUCAAGAUUUUUCACCACUUGAUGAAUUCACACCAAGAUUUUUCCCUCUUGAAGAUAUGCUCUUUUCAAAAAAAAAUUCUUGGUGAUGUUCCCUCACCAAUACCAAGAGUUUUAUCCUAACUCUCAAAGGAUUACAAGGAUGAUUUUACUCACAAUAAAACUCUCUCGAAGAGUAGAUGAUAUAAUUUAAACUCUAGUAUCUCCAUAACUUACUCAAUAGCAUUUAGAUGAUUUAUAAAGGUCUUUAUAAAGUGUCAUGAGUAUGAAAAUAAAUGCUCUAGUGCUAGAAUAUGAAUGCUCAAUUCUUAAAAUAGCUUCUGUAAUAUGUAUAUUCAGAAUCCUCUUUUAUUUUAACAAUAAUGAGAGUUGUUUAUAAGUUUCCAAAACAAACCAGCCAUUUUUAGUCGUUGUAGCUCCAUUGACGGCUGAACCAAUCAACCGAUUCAGAUUUGUCAAGCCGAUUGGUCAAUCGAUUCCUAUAGUUUCUCAGAUGUUCAUCACGGAUGAAUAAGUGGUAGACCAGUUCACUUGGUAUUACCAAGCGGUCGACUGGUUCAACUUAAAUACCAGAUUUGAAUAGUUUGAACCUACUGAAUCUUGAACCGAUAUUAAUCCUAUAUAUAUACAAAAUUAAGUGUGUAAGUUCAUUUUAAUUUUGUUAUUAAGCUAAAAUAUAAAUAUUUACUUAAUUACUAAAAUGAACAAUUAAUUCUUAGAUUCUCAUAUGUUCUUCACUUGCUUUGGUGGCUAGGUUUUAGAGAAGAAGAAAACUAUUUUUUUUUCUACACUUUCACUCCAUUUUUUUUCUACACUUUCACUCCAUUUUUUUUCUUUUCUCUAUCUUAAGUUUUUCUUCGAGGGUCACUACGGUUUCUUACCCACUCUUUUUUUUUUCUCUCUAAUUUUUCUAUGGAGGCUAGAGUGUUUUUCUACACCUCCUCCUUUUUCUUACCUUGCCUUUCUAUUAAUAAGCAACGGGGCAGGUUCUAGAAUUUUUAUAGGUGAAACAAUCAUAUCCUUUGAUUUCUUUGGGUCGAUUUUGACCCUUCAUCAUUAUUGUACAUUUGGUACAACAUGCUCGUGUUCUAUAAAGCUCACACCAAAUCUUAAUCAUAAAGAGUGGGGAGGGGAGAGAGAGAGAAGAAGAAGAAGAAGAAGAAGAAAAUGGGGCUGAAAAACUUCACUGCCAUUUUUCAAAAUCAGAUGACCCGUUUCCUUUCAAAGGGUAGCCAAAAAGUUCCCAUACACAACACACACACCCAUUAGCGAGCUUCUUCUUUACCAAAACAAAACUAAAAAAAUUAUAUCAUCAUUUUCAAGCCACCUUCUAGCUAUAACUGGAAACAAAAAAAAACAAAAAAAACAAUACAGCCUCUUUCAUCAGCGCUGUCUUUUUUCUCCACCCUCGAGUAACUUCUAUCUUGCCCCACGUUGACUCAAGGAACCAUAGCCGCUGCUUCCACAGUACCAUUAACCUGAGGUGUUCAUUACCGGAAUCAUAACCCAAGGCAGGCCAGGAGCCCACUCACAUCGUCCAUGUGCAUCUUCAGCGUGCUCGUUCUACAUUCUUGCCUCUGACCUCUCUGGACUUAGCUUUAUUCAAGCACUAGCCACUCAAAAAAGAGUGAAGAAGAGGUACGGGAUAUCCAGUGGAGCUGCCUCCAUCAUAAUCACUCAAGGUAUAAAGCUUCUACUUAUUCUCAUGUAGUUGUAAUCUUUUACAUGUGCAUGCUACUGCAAAGGCAAGCUCCCGUUUUUCCUUUAUGUGCUAUGAAGUUAACAUAUAGUGUUGUAAGGUGUGUGGAUCUUUUAAGUCCUAACCUGGUCACGGGUGUUCUUUCACUUGCUACGGAUACUGAAGGGGAUGGGGUGUGAUUUUUGCUUCAAACGCAUAUGGUCUUGAAAACUUGAUUGCAUGUCCUAAGGUCAUGUUAAGACCUUGCCUAGUUAAUUAAGAAUGCUCUUACCCAAGGUUAAAGUUCAAGAACGAUAUGAGAAGGUGGAAAAAGAUGUUGAUAACUAUUGGGGUCAUAGGUUUUCCUUCGUUUUUUUGUGUCUUUUGAAAAUAAAAAUGCAUAGGACUGUCAGGGAGUUUUUCCAUACCAUGCUUGGGCUUUGGAUGUAUGUUUCCUUUACAUGAGAUGAUGGCUACCUUGCUUUGGAUCCCUGGUUAACGAUGAUGCAUGAACUAUCGUGCAUGAUUUUUAUGUUCAAAAGAUCCAGUCCUCUAGCAGUGCAUAAUUAUUGGCCAAGCCGUAGAUAAAAUGAUUUUUGGUUGAAGAAGAUUCGGUAUGUGCAAGGGUUUCUCGUUCAUUUCUUUUUACUGUCCCAUGGCUUUUCGUCAAUGCUAAGGCACCUAUAUUUCUCUUUUCUAAAGUUAAGUUGGUUGUUAUCUACAAAUAGGUUUCUCACGGGCUGAAGAAUAUAUAUAAAAAACAAUAAAAAACCUGUUCAAUUUAACCUCUUAAAUUCACGAAACAAGGUUAUGAAAAUAAAUAAUUUCAUAAAAAAUAAAUUAAAAAAAACAUAAAAUCUAACUAAAAAAACAUGAAGUCUAAAUCCUAGCUAAUUCAAUGUUGUCAAUCCAAUGUUCAAGGUUAAAAUUUUAAAAAUAAAUUAAAUUAAAAAACAAAAAAUAAUCUGAGUCAACAAAAUUAAUCCUCAAAUUUGUUAUAUGAAUAAUAAAAUCAUGACAAUUCUAUAAAAAAAAAAUUAAACAAAGUUAAUUGCUCACCAACCUAGUGGUAGAGCAUAAAAUUGAAAAGAUUGUGUGUGCCACUUAAUAUAUAUUGUUAAAUUUUCUAUGAGAAAGCAGAGUAGUAAACAACCAAUUAGAGGAAAGAAGAAAAAAAAUGGAAAGCAGAGUAGUAAACUGCCAAUUAGAGGAAAGAAGAAGAAAAAGAAAAGGUUGUCGGUAUUAAACUGAACAACCAUCUGCCACACGCGCCGCCUCAUUAACGACAGCCUCUGGUCAAUGAAUAUCCCUACACAUGCCACCUGAAAUGUGCGGGAACGACCAACGCAUUGACUUGCACUUAUCAACUAUUUUUUAAAAUUAUUUAUAUUUAUUAAAUUAUAAAAUUGGAAAUAAACCACCCUGAUAAAAAAUAAAAUAAAUAAAAUAAACCCAAUGAAAAUAUACAAAUGCUCUUGGUUUGAACCUCAAGUGACUAACUAGAUAUAUAUAUCUCAGUUAAUGAGAAAGCAGACCAGUAAACAGCCUUUUAGAGGAACGCAAUUUAAUGCAGGAAGAGGGCCAUACUCACAAGAAAAUUGAUUUACACCCGACAUAAUAUUUUCUAAGUGUAAAAAAAGUUAAGGUAUUGCUAACGUGUGUUUUCUAGAGAAACAAUUAAUUAUAAACUUAAAAUCUCAUACAUAUUAAAAAAAUAUAUUUUUAAAAUAUUAAGAUAGAAAAACACUAGAUGACAUUCUUUUUAUAUAUAUUAAGACCAUAAUGAACUAGAUUGAUUUUGGCAAACCAUGGUUAAUUUAUAAAAUUCAUGAUCAAGGUCAUAAGACCGUAAUAACCAAAUAAAAAACAAAUUGAAACAAAUCAUGAAGCUCAGUUCCCAAACAACAAAAAAUUUGUGGAUGAAAUUGAAUAAAAAGUUAAAUUAAAAAAAAUGAAAAAAAGGUGGUUUGAUUCAAGUGGGGUAAACUUGUUGAACUCGCAACAUAGGUUAUGAAAAUGAGAUAACCCCAUAGAAAACAAGCUUAAAAAAAAAACAUGAAGCUCAAAUCUCAACCAACUCAAUAUUGAAGGAUGAAAUUGUAAAAUUCGAGUCAAACAAAGUUAACCCCCAAAUUCAUGACAUGAGUAAUAAGAUUGCGAUAACUCAAUAGAAAUAAAAUUUUAAAAAAAAACAACGAAUGUCAAUUCCCACCCAACCAAAAGUUAAAUAAUGGAAUUGAAAGAAAAGAAAUUCAACCCGGGUUAAAUGAUCGCGAUAACCCCAAAGAAAAUAAAUUGAAGAAAAAAUGUCAAAUCUCAAAUCCCAACCAACCCAAUAUUAAAAAAUAAAAAUGAAAAAAAAACUAAAAACAACCUUAGUCAACUCAAAUUAACCCACCAACUUCAUGACAUUAGUCAUGAGAAUUGGAUAACCCCAUAUAAAGCAAAUUAAAAAUAAAUAUGAAGCUCAAAUCUCAAUCAACUCAAUAUUAGAGGAUGCACUACAAGAUUUCACAGUUUUACCGACGGACAUAUUCCGUCGGUGUGUGAUUAGCAGUCCGUCGGUGAUUUUUUUACCGACGGAUUACGUCUGUCGGCUUUCCUUUCAUCGAUGAUUCCCCAUUCCGUCGCUAUAUCGGUCGGCAAAACAAAAAAAACCAUUUGCCGAUGGUUUUACAGACGGAAUUUGCGCGCCAAAAAAAAAAGAUUCCCGCUUGAAAUAUACCGACGGAUUUUUAGUCCGUCGGUGAUAUCGUGAUUUACCGACGGCUACUAACCGUCGGUAAAUCUGUCGGUAAGUGUAUGAAAUACCGACCGAAUAUAUCCGUCUGUGAAUUCGUCGGUAAGUGUGGCAGCUACUGUUAAAUGCCGACGGAUUAAUUCCGUCGGUAAAGCUGUCGGUGAGUGUUUAAAAUACCGACCGAAUGAAUCCGUCGGUAAAACCCUUGGUAAUAGUUUUUUUCUAAAUUUGUUUUUAAAAAAUUAUUUAGAAUAUAUAAUAUAAAACUAUAUAAAUUAAUUGUAAUACAAACCAAUUAUGCAAAUAAAAUUUAUAUUAAACAUCAAAAAAAAAUCAAAGUUAAAUAAUAUUCAUUACAAACUGAAUAUGUUUCAAAAAAAAUAUUAAAUGAAGUUUUAAAGGUAAAUAAUGUUUAUUACAAAUUAAUAUAAAGGUGGAGCUGGAGGAGGAGGAGGAGAUCCUGGAGGAGGAGGCUGGUGGUUAUACGGCCAAAAAGGAUUAGGCGCACAUGUUCCACUAUGUGUUGCCAUGUUCAUGACCAUUUCGCGAAACUGUUCAUAAGCCGCUUUUUGUUGUUCAUAAGCCGCUUUUUGUUGUUCAUACUCCGCUUUUUGUUGUGCUUGAGACGCUUUGAUUUGCUCAGACUCCGCUCUUUGUUGUGCAUAAGACGCUUUGAGUUGUGCGUACUCUGCUAAUAGGUGGUCGUAUUUGUCGGUGAGCUGAGCCGUGUGUUGCUGCAAGGCCACGAACUCCUUAGAUUGGGAGCUCCCAACGGUUGAAACACUACGGGUCAACCGCAAGUUGUCGGUCGUAGUGUUGGAGAGCCCGUAAACCCGAUUUUUAUCGGGUCCACCUGACGAUCCAACCUCCAUCCACAAAUCCGGAUCGAAUUCCGGAUGGGUCAAAAUAUCGUCCCCGUAUCUCUCCCUCAACCGAUUAUUAUAGGUCUCCUGAAAAUAAAAAAAGUAAUCAUCAUAUUCAAUUCAAUAAACAUAAUAACUUACAUAAUAACUUACAAAAUAAAAUGGUCGAACAAACAUAACACGAAAUGUUGAGUACGGUUAUCAACGAACUGUCGCGCCUCCAUUUGGCGGUCUUGACUCCACACGUGCGUCUCCACAAACAGCUCCAUCGGGCUCGGCUCACGUCCAAGAGACGCAGCCUAUAAUGAAAAAAGAUAUAUUAACAACAACUUAAUUUAACGAUAUAUUUCAUUUAAAUUAAUCUUACCAUCCGUUUCGCAUGUGUAGCAAACAGAACGGAGCCGCCAGUGUGCGUUGUCACCGAGCCAUGAAUUGGUCGAUUCCGAUUGCCAGCACCGGACUGUGAGCGUCGUGUGAACCGCUCAAACGUCACGUGCUCAAGAUAGUGCGGCCAUAUAUCUUUUGGGAUGUAUAUCGGUUUGAAAUCCCUCCAAACCGCAACAUUGUUCCAGCCUUGGAAACCCCUAUCCCUCGCGGUUUGUUUUUGCCCUUUUUUGUGCUUCAUACCAAAAAUCACGCAACCUACUUCACGCAACCAAAAAUUACAUUUCAAAACAUAAUUUUUUGUUUAAAAAAAAUCUUGUAUUUUUUUCGAUCUUACCUAGUUGUCGCGUGAUUUUCCCACACCCUCCUCACAACAGUGUUAUGCUCACUGUCCUAGCAGAAUUUGUGUUGUGUAUAAAUAAACAAGUUUAAAUAAAAAUAAUAAUUUAUUUACAAUUAUAUUAAUAAUUUAUUAGAAAUAAGCUGAAAAUUAUAAAUUAACACCAACCUGAAAUCUGCCAAACCAUGCAUUGAUUUGAGGCAUCCAUUCAGGAUGUUUGGAUAUAUGACUCAAUUGAAACAAUGAAAUCUCCAUCGAUGAUUUAAACGCCGAUGAUAUUACUCGGGCGGCCUCAAUGUUUGUGAACCUGAAAAUAAAUGAAAUAAAUUAAAUAGUGAUUACUUCAUAAAUUAUGUUGUAAUUUUUUAAAAAAAGAAAAUUAAACCUUAACAAACUUACAUUGAAAGGUUGUCCUUCCACUGUGCCUCGUACUUGCGAGUAAAUUGAUUCCGCUGCGAAGGCAACCCGCCUCUGCGCUGUGAAGUAGCGCUGGAAGAGGCAGCAUCGGUUGACGGCGCAAGUGGUGUAGGUGCCUCUUCUUGAGAGGCACCUAAGGAAAUAUCAUCAUCGUUGCUAGACGAACUAGCUGCGACCGUACGUGAGCGACCAGCUCUGCUUUUCAUUCUACGCGUCUACACAAUUUUAUACAAAUAAUUAUAUAAUUAAAUUCAAAUGUUAAAAAAAAUUCGACAGCACCUCCUCUAUACUGGAUACUACCCAAAUCCACAAACCUGCACAUAUUAACAAAAGCCACAAUCAAUUGACCCAAUCUAUACUAAUUAUUCCAACAAAUUCAAUUAAUAAUCCUAAGGUAAAUUCAACAUUAAGAAUUACAAUUCAACAAAUUAUUCAAUAAUUAUGCCAAUACAACAAUAAAAUAUAUUCAAUAAAUUAAAAACAAACUGUAGACUAACAAUUAAAAUUAAUGGAAAAAAUUAAACAUAAAUCAUGCAAUAAUAGAGUAAAAUUAACAAUUAUUCCAAAAUAUUCAAUUACUAAUACUAAGGUAAAUUCAACAUUAACAAUUACAAUUCAAAAAAUUAUUCAAUAAUUAUGCCAAUACAACAAAACAAUAAAUUAAAAAAAAAAACUCUAGAAUAACAAUCAAAAUAAAUGGAAAAAUUUAAACACAAAUCAUGCAAUAAUAGAGUAAAAUUAAUAAUUAUUCCAACAUAUUCAAUUACUAAUUCUAUGGUAAAUUCAACAUUAACAAUAAAUAUUCAACAAAUUAACUAAUAAUAAUUAUGCCAAUACAACAAUAAAAAAUAUUCAAUAAAUUCAAAAAAAAAAACUAUAAACUUUAGCAAUGAAUUAUGCAAAAAAAAUUAUAGACUUUAUCUACAUUACAAAAAAUACACUAAAACAAAAAACAUAACAAAAAAAAACCCUUAAAGUAAAAUGAAAUAGAAGAAACACAUACCUUUUAAACUGAAGGAGAUUCACGAGAAAAGUUGCUAGAGAUUGCUGGUGAAACCUUUAAAGAAUGGAGAGGAAAAGAAUCGGUGAAAAAUUGAGGAGAAGAAAAAAUGAACUGAAGAGGCGGUUGGGGGACUUAUAUGGCAGUUUUACCGACGGAUUCACCGACGGAUAUAAAAUUAAUUAUUAUUUUAAUUUAUUCUGUCGGUAAAGUGUCAAAAAUCCAUCGGUAAAUUUUGAAUUUCGCACCAAAAUUUUUAAUAAACCUCCAUUUUUUUCGUGGUCCGUCGGUAAUUCCGUCGGCACUAUGACGCGGUCAGAUAUGCAUUUAAUGCACAACCCUUUGGAAUUCGCGCGGUCCGUCGGUAAUUUUGUCGGUAAAAUUGACCCGCUGACAAAUUACCGACGGACCUAUAGUUGUCGGUAUGUAUGUCGGUGAUUGUAGCAUUUCAAGUAAACUCUCUGUGAAAUGCCGACGGAUUUAUAUCCGUCGGUAUGUAUGUCGGUGAUUGUGGCAUUUCAAGUAAUUAUUUUCGAACUAUCUGUGAAAUGCCGACGGAUUUAUAUAUUGUGGCAUUUCAAGUAAUUAUUUUCGAACUCUCUGUGAAAUGCCAACGGAUUUAUAUCCGUCGGUAGGGACGUCGGUGAUUGUGGCAUUUCAAGUAAUUAUUUCAUGUUUCAAAAUAUAUCAUCCAUGAUCUAUAAUUAUUUCAAGUAAUUAUUUCGUGAUUGUAGCAUUUCAAGUAAUUAUUCCAAGUAAUAAAUAUUUUGUGUUACAAAAUAUAUCAUCCAUAAUCUAAAUUACAUGAAAAAAAGGGUUUUACACAGGGCUUCAUUUUGGUAGUUAGUCAGAAUUUUCUUCUUCUUCGUCAUCAAUUGAAUUGUCAUCACCUUCAUCGUAAUCUUCAAUAUGGAUAUCAUCUUCUUCAUCGACAUUUGCUUGUCCGCUAGAGCUCAAAACAAAAUUCAACUCCUCUGCGUCAACAUCAACAAGACUAUCAUCGAAAACACGAAAAUUUGAAUUUUCUUCCAAUUCAAUCGAAGGCGCAACUCGAUAUGGUUCAACCAACUCACUAACUUGAAAGACUUCAUCUCGCACACUUGUGUCUUCGUUCUCAUCCUGAACAACCUCGACACGACCUUGGGGUUUCGUUUUUAAAACGGAUAACCAAUCCACUCUUGAUCGAUCCUUUCUAAAUGAAGGGGUGUAUGUGUAAUAAACUUGUUGACAUUGCUUUGCGAAAACAAAGACAUCGUUUAUAUUGCGGAGUCUAGCUUUUGAGUUGAUUUCGACCAGACCAUAGUGCGGAUCAACUCUGAUUCCUCUGUCAGUCGUGUCAUACCAAUAGCAUUUGAAUAAAAACACUCUAUUCUGCUCGUUAUGAUAUUCCAGUUCGACGACCUCUUCUAAUCUACCAUAGUAGUCAACUUCUAACUCACUACUAGUGGAUCCCUUAACACAAACACCGCUGUUGUAUGUCUUUCUUCUUUGCCCGUAUUCUUAAGUAUGGAAAACAUAUCCAUUGAUAAAAUACCCGUUGUAGCACUUACAUUUUCUUUCAGGCCCCAGGCUUAGUGAAGACAAUGACUUAGGCGCACUCCUUCCCAUUUGAUAAACCUUGUGUACAUCAACAAACAGUAAAUGAACGAGAAUCUCGUAAUGACAUGCAUACGUACAAUAAUUUUGCAAGUUAGAAUGAGUUUGUGAUAGUGCUUACAUGUGUUCUGAACCACGUGGCAAACUGUUCAUCUUGUAAUUGAAAGAUCUGGGAUUCGGUCAGCUGUGAGUUAUUGGAGAGCAAAUAUUGUCGAUGUUGCCUACAAGUGAUGAUGAGUGUAUGAUAUUACAAUGUAUAAUUAACAGUAUAUUACUAACAAAGUUUAAUUAGUAUAAACUUACUGAAUAAAAGGUCUCAGCUCAUCACAGUUAAAUAGAACAUAGUUGUGUGCUUGUUUGAACUCUAUUUCCGACAAAUAUCUUCCUCUUACAGCAUUUUUAAGUGUGGGUCGUCCAGUAUUGGAGAAUAUUGACAAGUUCCCAGUGGAAGGCACCUCACCGCCAUCAUCAUGUUGUGGAACGCGAUUGAUUCUCGUUCUUAGAUGAGGUUCGAAAUAGUACGAAAUAAAUGUUGAGAUCUCCUCAACAAUAUAGGCCUCACAUAUCAAAGCCUCAACAUGCGCCUUGUUCUUAACCUUUUUCUUGAGAUUAAACAAGUACCUGCAUUGAAAUAUUAAUCAAGUAUUUUCAAUUAAGAAAAACAUAUAAAAUACUUUUAUAUAUGAAUUACAUUGCAACUGUAAUAUCUAACCGUUCAAAUGGGUACAUCCAUCUAUAUUGGACCGGUCCUCCAGCUUUUGCCUCGAACGGUAGAUGUAUAGGGAGAUGCUCCAUUGAGUCAAAAAAUGAUGGAGGGAAUAUCAUCUCAAGUUUGCAUAGUGUCUCGAUGAUAUUCAUUUGAAACCUCUCAAUGUGAUCAACAUUCAACUUGCUGGAGCAUAUAUCUCUGAAGAAAUGACUAAUCUCCGUGAGUGCAUCCCAUAUUCUCUUUGGCAACAAAUCACAAAAAGCUAAUGGGAUGAGUGUUUGCAUAAACACGUGGCAGUCAUGACUCUUCAUUCCAUACAAUCUGCAGUUCUCUAUAUUAACCAGCCUUGAUAUGUUCGAUGCAUGUCCAUCCGGAAAACGCAGACUCUUAAGCCAUUUGUAGACUAGUAGUUGUGCGUUUUUCUCUAACAUGAAGCUUGCUUUUGGUUUUGCGACCCGUGACUCAUCAUAAACCAACUCUAUAUUUUUACGGUUACAGUAUAAAGCUAUAUCCAAUCUAGCCUUGAUGUUGUCCUUUGUCUUCCCCUUCACAUCCAUAACGGUGUUGAAAAUGUUCUCAAACAUGUUCUUUUCGAUGUGCAUGACGUCAAGGUUAUGGCGAAGCAAAUUGGUCUUCCAAUAAGGAAGCUCCCAAAAGAUACUUUGCUUUACCUAAUUAUGGGUCAAACCAAAACCAGGAAACUUUUGCUUACCUGAUUGAAGGCCAAACACAAUGUCACCGUACUCUGAGACAACAUCAUGCAAUUCUUCACCAGAAAGACGCGGGGAUGCAACAUCUUUUUCAACUCUGCCAACAAAGAAAUCUUUUAUGUUCUUUCUGUACCUGUGAUUAAGUGGCAAGAAGCGACGGUGACAGUCAAAAAUAGAAGCUUUACCUCCGUUUGCUAGCGUGAAUGCCUUGUUGUUUUCCAUGCAGUAUGGACAUGCGAGUUUCUCAUGCAUGCUCCAACCAGAAAGCAUUCCAUAAGCUGGAAAAUCAUUGAUAGUCCACAUCAAAGCCGCCCUCAUAAGGAAAUUUUGUUUCCUCGAUAUAUCAUAAGUCAGAGCUCCGGAGGACCACAACUGCGCCAACUCAUCAAUCAACGGUCGAAGACAAACAUCUAUAUUCCGCCCCGGGUUGCUUGGAUCGGGUAUGACAGUAGAUAAAAACAUGAACUCUGGCCUCAUACACAUUCCCGGUGGCAAGUUAUAAACUGUGAGUAUGACCGACCAACAAGAAUAAGGAGCAGCAAAUGACUCAAAUGGGUUGAAUCCGUCUGUACACAACCCAAGACGCACAUUCCUUGAUUCAGCUGAAAAGUGAGGAUGAACACUGUUAAAGCGUUUCCACGCUUUGCCGUCAGAAGGAUGAACCAUCACUCCAUCAACCGCAUGGUGUGCUUGGUGCCAUGUCACGUGCUCAGCAGUCCUUGGUGACAUGAAUAACCUCUGCAGUCUAGGUGUGAUCGGGAAGUAUCUAAGUUUUUUAUAUGCCACUAGANNNNNNNNNNNNNNNNNNNNNNNNNNNNNNNNNNNNNNNNNNNNNNNNNNNNNNNNNNNNNNNNNNNNNNNNNNNNNNNNNNNNNNNNNNNNNNNNNNNNCUCGCAUGUCAUGCACUCGGUCAUCUCAGCAUUUUCAAGGUAGUAUAAAAUGCAGAAGUUAGGGCACAUGUCAAUUUUCUAGUAUCCUAAACCGAGGGGUUUCAUCAUGGACUUCGCAGCAUAGAAGUUCUCUUUCAGCCUGUUCCCUUCAGGUAAAAUGCUUCUUGCCCAUUCAAUAAUCUUGUCAUACCCGGCCUCACUCAACCCGUGAUCUGACUUGAUGAUGAACACCUGUGCUAUGGCUGAUAAUUUACUAUGCUUCGUGCAGCCAUCCCAUAAUGGUUCAUCAGAAUCUUUCAACAAAUCAAAAAACCUAGCUGCAUCUGCAUUAGGUUCUUCUUCUACGAUUGGACAUUGACUAACAUUACCUUGAUUCAUUCUCAUUGCAUCCAUAACCAUAUUUCUGUAAGGAUUAGUGUUGUCAUUUGCCGCUUCAUGCACGUUGCUAGCACUAGAAGUAGACCCAACCACCGUUUCUUCCAUUCUCCUCUCACUAACAAAUACUUCUCCAUGUGCAUACCAACACUGGUAAUUCUCCAUAAACCCUUUGUGUAGAAGAUGCAUCAUUACAACAUCUGGAUGCAGAUACUUUUUAUUUUAACACUUCCUGCAUGGACACCUAAUACCGCCUCCAGUAAAAUUUAUGGGAAUAGAUGUUGCGAAAUUAAUAAAACCCUGAACCCCGUUACAAUAAUCCAUCAUCCGCAAUCCUUGGGGUGAAUCUCGAUACAUCCAUGAACGAUCAUCCAUGAUUUAUAUCGAACCUCUAUAAAAUUAUGAUGACAUCAUGUAUUAAUUAACUAAGUUAGGUAAAUAAACUUGCAAAAAUAUUACUUUACCUCGAGAUUAUCCAACAAACCAAUCACAACUUCUCAUAAAUAUUAAAUAUUCAUUAUCAUUUAUCAACGUCCAUACAAAUUAAAAUAUAUAAAUUUACGGAAAUUACCACUCCGCAAUACCAUUGAAAAAACUUUAAACGGACCCAUUAAGCAAGCUAUUAAUUAUUUCAAAACAGCACAUGUACUUCGGUAGUUCCAUAAAGUUUUAACAAUUUACAAACAAAUACAAUCUUACAAAAUCUAAAACAAACCAUAACAGGUAUAGAAUUAUACAUUCAUAUACUACAAGUUUGUUUGAGAAAUAACAAUAAAACAUGUACAUCUACUAACAAAAUACAUAACUAAAAAAACAAUAAAAUUGACAUUUAAUUAAAUGUUAAAAUUUAAAAAGAUAGAAUUACUUACAAAAAUUGAUAAAAUCCGUCGGUAAAUCAGAACACGGAUGUUGUGACCACAAAACUUCAAGAAAUAUAACUUGUUGUGCUGAUAUGAGGGAGAUUUUUGUUUGGGGGGGAGGGGGGGCUGGUUGUUUGCAGAUGGGGAGAGUUGGGAUUAGGAAGAAGAAGGAGAAAUAGGGGAGGAGAGGGUCGGCAGAGCGGACAUAUAUUAACUUUUCCCGACGGUUUCACCGACGGACACUCCGUCGGUGAAACCGUCGAUGAUUCUGACGGAACAAUCGACACGUCAUCGUACGGAUUUGUCAUUUCAAAUCCCUCGGUGAUUCCGUCAGUAAUAUAAACGGCAAACCGGUCACGUCGCUGUACGGGCUGUCUUUUUGAAUCCGUCAGUGAUUCCGUCGGAAAACAUAACCCGCCAAAACCUCCACGUCAGCGACCCGUCUUGUUUUUUACGACGGACACUAUUCCGUCCGUAAUUCAGUCGGUAACUACCGACGGAAAUUUUUCGUCGGUAGUUACUGACUGAAGUACGGACGGAAUAGUGUCCGUCGGUAAUUUCGACCUCAAAUUACCGACAGACAUAUUCCGUCGGUAAAUCCGUUGCUAUUUAGCGAAUUUCUGGUAGUGAUGAAAUUGAAAAAAAAAUUGUAUAAAAAAAAAGCCAUCCCAUGUUAACCCAAACCCAAGUCAGAAAAAUGUAUUAAAAAAAGAAAAUCUUUCAUUGCUACUUUUAAUAAUAAUUGUUUUUUCAUGUUUUUGUUGAAGGGAAAUAUGACAUUUAAAGAAAUUAAAUACACUUUUUCAUAUUUUUGAGAGUGUUAGACAUAAAAAUAGUGAUGAAAGAUAAAUAAUAAUAAUAAUAGAAAACAAAAAAAGAAUCGAUCGCUAGAGGCAAACCAGAAGCCCGUUGUCGGCACAUACAACACAAUGACAUAGAACACAGAGAGAGGGUUCAAAUGGGCAUUGAGAAAGGGCAGAAUCGGUCAUCAAAAGCUACUGAACAUGCCACCUAAGUGUUGCGACCUCCCCCACUCGUCGGUGCGUCCUACACACACACCACCACUUUUUCCAAUUUUUUUCACCAUCGAGAAAGAUUAUCACCUUAUGACAAGUUAACUUGGCAAAGAAAGGUAAUAACAAUGUUUUGAAAUUGAAGGCGGCAACAGCAGCCAAAAAUAAUUAAUUUAAAACCAUCUACUUAGUACAUAUAAGUUGAUCAAGGGUUGCUAAUUUGUAACGAAUGGCAUACAGUUUUACCAUAUCAACAGCAUGAAAAUUGAUAAUUGAUGUGAAUCCCAAAUCUAUUAUUCUAUUUCUUUAUUAAUUAUCAUAAAAAAAACAUUUAUUAAAGGUGUUGUCCUCCAACUCUCUUUCCAUAAAAAGAAAGAGUUGUGAGCCACCACAUACAUUUGAUCAUGGACAAAAGGUAAUCAAAUAGUUGCCUCCGCUAGGACAAGUAAACGUGCUCGAUUUAUCAUCAAAAGCAUAACUAUAAGCUUGAGGACACUGCUUCUUGAAGAUCAUCGAAUAUUGGUUAGGAGGACAUUUGUCAGGUGUACUGUACUCUCCUGUGCAGCAGAACUGCGGCUGGUUAAAUGCCAAACACGCGCUCUUGCAGGCAAUCACAGUCCCAUCUGGCCCCCUCACUGCUAAACUAGGAUCACAAACAGCAUUCACGUUAGCUGCACAGCUUGUAGAACUGCAGCCAGGAGAACCUCCUUGCGGGGUUACCGAAAUUGGGAUGUUAAAGCCAUCAACAAGGCUGAUAUCAUAAAAAUCUAGCCCACCACUACCAUUUAGAGUAAAUUCUGCCAGGGAUGCUGGUGGGAUCGCACCGGCUCCAUUGCAUUCUAUGACACCAGAGGCACAGUCAGCAGUAGCACAAACAAACUUUCCCGAGGCAUCUGUAGAGCAUUGCGUUCUGCCCCACAAGCGGCCAGACCAUGUUGCAGGGACACUUAGCGAAUAUGAAGCACCUGUUGCCAAUGUGAAGCCAGUUGAAGAUAUAGGCGGACGGCCAGCAGCCGUUAGAGUUCCUGGCCAGACUGUGUAUGGACAGUUGUUUUUGACAACGAAAGUCACAGAUUGAGCUCCUGCAUACGUGCAAGCUGCGCAAGAUUUAUUUUUGUUCAUAUCACUAACUAAAUCUUAGUCGAUUCGAUUCAAAGAAAAUUUUAAACAGUCAUGCGGUUCACGAGUAAACUGAUUCGAAAAUAUUUUUAUUAUCAAAUAAAAACACAAACGAGUUUUAAAUACAUCAAACUCUAAUUUAUGUGAAUCUAUUUUAUUUUUAUUUUUUCAUAUAAAAAGAAUAGGACUUGAAUCUAAGACUUGGCCUUCGUUUUCUCUACGGAACUAAACGUCCGUACAUAAUUCAAUAUUUAAAAUCUUGCAUUAAUUCACUUAUUUUUCUUUUAAAAAGAUAACAUAACCCAGGUUUAUUUUUUAAUAUAUUUUUUUCUUUUUUCUUUUUUAUCCGGAAACUCCCUCCUGGAUAUGUUUAUUGGAUUCACGAAAUCCAUUGAAUAAUGAAAAAGUAAUUAAAGUGAAUAAUAUGCAUAAUAGAGCAAGAAUCUAAUAUAUGUAAUAUUGUAAAAGUACUUGCCACAGAGGAAGAUGACGAGGGUGAAGGUAAUUAUAGCAAAGGGCAUACGACUCUCCAUUGUUGCGAUUCUUCGAUGGGCUGAAUUAAGACCUUUUCAAUCUUUUUCAAGAGAUUUGAGGUAAGCAAGAAACACCCUAUAUUUUGAAAAGAUUAUGUGUGCCAAUUGAUAUAUAUAUAUUGUUAAAUUUGCAGUGGAAACUUUUGGAGCAACCAAACUUUUGGGUCCGCGCAAUUAAUUAGUUGCAUUGUUAGGAACAACACAUUAUGUUGUUCUCAAUAAUGCAUCACCUAGGAAUUAAAGAAAAUUGAGAAUCUUAAAAUAGACAUUGGUCUUACAAAUUUAGGUAUUAAGUUACUUAUGUCUAAUGAAAUAUUGAUGUUAUCCUUGCUGCAUCCUUUCAAAUGAAAGGUUAUAUUUACAAUAUGUUUUUCUAAAUUUAUUCUACAUAUGUUAUUAAUUAUCUAAAUUUAUUUAUAAUCUUAUUCAAGAUUUUUUUAAUAAAAAAUUAACGUCGGUCCCUAUGAAUAAAAAACUCGUCAAUAAAAAAAAUCUUGAUGUUAAUCCCUAAAAAUAUGUGAUUUCAUCGAUUUAGAAAAAAAAAUAAUGUUGAUCUAAAAAAAUAGGUGAUAAAAAUAGGAUAUUUCAUUGGUUUAGGAAGAUUUUGACGUUAAUCUCUAAAAAUAGGAGAUUUCAUUCAUUUAGAAAUUUUUUUACUUUAAUCUUUAAAAAUAUAAGAUUUAAUUGAUUUAGAAAAAAAAUGACAUUAAUCUCUAAAAAUAUGUGAUUUCAUCAAUUCAAGAAAAAUUAGACAUUAAUCCCAAAAAUAUAUAAUUUCAUCAAUUUUGGAAAAAUCUGAUGUUAAUCCUUAAAAAUAAUAGAUUUCAUCAAUUUAGGAAAAGUUGGAUGUUAAUCUUUAAAAAUAGAAGAUUUCAUUGAUUUAGAAAAAAAAUCGAUGUCAAUCCCUAAAAAUAUGUGAUUUUGUUUAUAUAGAAAAAAAGGAUGUUAAUCCCUAAAAUUAAGGGAUUUCAUUGAUUUAGGAAAAAAAUCAACAUUAAUCCCUAAAAAUAGGUUAUUUAUUUGAUUUAAGAAAAAAAAGAUGUUAAUCCCUAAAAAUAAGGGAUUUCAUCAAUUUAGGAAAAAAAUUUAUGUUACUCCCGGAAAAUAGACUAUUUUGUUGGUUUAGGAAAAAAAAUGGCAUUAAUCCUUAAAAAUAGGUGAUUUCAUCAAUUUAGAAAGAAAAAAAUAAACAUCUAUAACUAAAAAUAGGUGAUUACAUUGAUUUUUAAUAAAUAUUGAUGUUAAUCCCUAAAAUAGGGGAUUUCAUUAAAAAAUCUAUUUGCGAAAAUGGGCGUUGGACCCGUAUGGAUGGUGAAAAUUGAGCUUUAGCCCUACUUUAUUGAAUAUGUCUAGAAUGACCCGAAGGGUGCCAAUUAUACUCAUUGGGUCUAUGUGAGGCUAGGUUAACCCAGUGCAGGUCCACUUGCAACAAAAAAGAUAAUAUGUCAUAAAACACAGAUAAUAUCCAAAAAAAAACAUGAUUACAAAUAAAAAUGAUAAAAAGAACAUGAUAGUUUUUUUAUUUUCAAUCAUAAUGUUAUCACUUCGAGAGUGACCCUGUUGAUAGAACAACAAUUUACUUAAUACGUCAAAGGCACCCUUGAACUAUUGAUCCUAUUCAAGUUUAACAAAACAAUUUCUUUUGAAAAACAUAAAACCGCAAUUCAAUCAUAAUAGCAUACAAUCAUUAUUUAUAUAUUUUUUUUAUGUGAAAACACCCCUAUAGUACUUUUUUAAAAAAUGCAUCCACAUGAAAAACCUAUCAUAAUGAAAAAUUAAAAACAUAUAAGAAAAACCAAGCGUCCAAUACUAGGGGCAUCAUAUCCUAGAGUUGCCACACCAUGGUAUAAAUCACAACACUUUAAGUGUCACAAACAUUCACAAUAAUACGCAAUCAAUCUCAAUAGAUAAACAUUUCAUGACAAUAUCUAACAACAUAAUAAAAAAAAUUAUUCAACAAUCAAUUUAGGAUUCAACAAUUCUAGAGUGGCUAAAGUCAAUCGAAAUGAUUUAAAUCAAGUGAAGAAGUUGUUGGACUAUUAAGGGUAGUAUUGGCACAUGACAGCCACGCAUUGGUGUGUGAUAGCAGUUGUUGGUGGUAUGUGGGUUCACGCGCUGAUGAUGGUCACAAAGGUGGUCAGCUAGAUAGGGCGUGUCGUCUCUUAUCUUCUCUUCCAUGUCGGUGAUGUAUUCCACCACUAUUUGAAGAGGGAGAUUAAGCCACUUAAACAUUUUAUUUUUCUUUCUUGUUUUUCUUCUACCCCCACCACUACUUCCAUUUUUACUGACACUACUAUUGCUGGUUAGGAAGUUGUUGUGGUGAUGUUGAAAAGGGAUAAUGAUGUUGAUGGUGGUGUUUUGUUUUUGUUGGUGAGAUCAAGAAAGAGGAUGGUUGGAUUUUGGUCAUAACUUAAGUUGUUUGGGUUAUGAUAAUCAUGAUCGAUGUUACUGCUAGCGUUGAUGGUGUAUGUCAUUAGCAGCUGCUAUCAGUGGUUAGAGGGAGUAGUUGUCGUCAAUGGUGAAUGUAGAGUGUCACAUGUCCCCCGCGCAGUCUGUGGUGAUUUUUGUUUUUGUUCGUUUGAUUAGUUCUUGAGAGUCACCACCUAGUAUUUCAUUGAAGGGUUACUAGGAAACCUGAAUGUACUGGUCUUGUCAGAAAUUCAUGGGUAAAGGACUGGUUGUGGCUAGGGAAGGUAUUAGCACCCCUAGCGCACCCUACCUGAGGUAAGCUGCAUCGUGAUUUGAUGUGAUAAAGAAGUUUUAAAAAUUAUCUUUUCAUCGGAUAUUAGAAAUACAACUUACAUGUAAGUUCAUAAUCAUUUACCAUGAGCAAAUCAAAACAUUAAAUUCUUCUUUAUUCUUUGUGAUUUUAUCAUAAAAAAAACAUCCAUAAAAAAAACUACAAACAUACACAUUCACUUUUACUAUAUUUUUUUUCUUUGCUUUUUUACAUUCACAUUUACACGCAACAAAUUAUAAAAAAAAAAUCAAAACUAAACAAACAGUACAUUAAAUAAUUUAAGAUUUACAAAAUAAACCCCCCCAAAUUCAGAGCAGUGAUGGGAAGACUUCUGGCACUUCAGGAAUAGUGGCGGUGCGUCUUCUCCACGCGCCCCCACCACUAGCGGCGUGUGGGUUCACACACCGCCGCGAGAACAAACCGGGAAACAAAGCAGUCGAGAUUGGCUUCUCCUCUUCCUUUCCUCAUCGGUGGUGAGGAUCAUUGUCACCUGCAACAAGAGAAAAACACACAAACAGCAGUUGAUUUUAAGUUUUCCUCCUUGUUUUCAGAUCUGCUUCUCUCCCUUCUCCUUUUUCAUAUCUGCUUCUUUCUCUCUGCAGAUCCCUUUGUUUUAUUCUGUUUUAAGUGGUCGGCGGUAGGAUCAAGGGACUGCUAGCGAAUGGGUUUCAGUCGCGUCUGUGCAGCUACUGGCAGCUGGUUCGGGUCUUGGUGAGGCUGAGGGCCUGCAGGCUGCUAGGCGACGUUCUCGGUGGCUGAGAGAGGUGUUGGUCAGAUCUAGGGAAGAGCUGAGGAAUGGUUGGCCGAGGAAGGGAGCUGAUCUGUGAAAGCCGGCAAUGGGGUUAUUGGGUCGGCUGUCAAAGAUCGGGAGAAGGAGAUGAGGAAGCGCAGUGGGCAGCCUCUGUGGUUGUGGUGGGGAGCUGGAAGGAGAUAGGGAUGGCUGAGAGGGGGACCGUGGGUUUAUGGUCGGCUCAAAGAGGGGAGAUCUGGUGAGGCAGAAGAAAGGGAGAGUGUCGACUAGAGGAGGGGAGCCUUGUCCAGCUACAGGGAGAAGAAGCCGAAAGUUUAAAAUCCCAAAGCAGGGUUUCUCCUUUUUUUUUCAGAGAGGGGGGGUGGCCGAAAGAUCAAAUGGGUUUAGGUUUAGGGUUUUUUUUACUGCCUCCCUACAAAUGUGCAAAAUUGCCCCCCUUGUGUAUGUGUUGGAAACUCCUAUUUAUAGGCAAAAAUAUUGCUAGGUCCCCAAACAUGGUGCUUCAACUUCUUUCUUUUUUUAUAAAUUUUUUUAUUAUUAUUAUUUUGGAUUUUUCUUAUCAACAUCGACUCAAAUGAGGAAAAUCAUUGAUUUUAAAAAUAACGCGUUAAAAGUCGAACGCAUUCUAAAGACCUUUAAAAAUUUAAAUUCUAUUUAGACGAUGCUGAAAAUGCUAAAAACGAUGCAAAUAUAUUUAAAAAAAACAUAUUUUUUGGAUUAUCAUUGUUUUUCGCUAUUUUUGGAUUUUUCAAAAAUUUUAUCAAACAGGUGGGCCAAAAAUUAGGUAACAACAUAGAGAUAGAAGUCAUCGAUAGUUGGCUGUUGUGAAGUGAUAAAUGGUGGCUAGCCUUUCUAAUAUGGUGACAAAAGUCGGCUUAUGGAGUUGAUGGUGUGGUAGUCUAUGGUGGUUUUAGGUUGGAAAAAAUGCUUAAUGGUGGUUAUUUAGUGGCUAGGUUUCAGUGAAGAAAAAGACUUUUUUAUUUUUUCUUUUUUCUACUCUUUCACUCCAUUUUUUUCUUCUCUCAUAAGUUUUUCUUCAAGGGUGGUUAGGGUAUCUUACCCUCUCCUUUUUUCUUCUCUCCAAUUUUUUUAUGGAGGCGAGGGCUUUUUUGAUACCUUCUUCUUUUUCUAUUUAUAGGCAAGGGGGUAGGUUUUAGAAUCCUUAUAAGUGGUGUCAUAACCCAUUUCUGAGUCAUUCCCCAAAUUCAAUUUUUUUUGUUUCAAAAUAAAAAUCAAAAAAUAAAAUAAUAAUAGCAAGAAGAAUAGCAUUUUUGGCAAAAGCAAGUUGGGAGAAUUUCAAAUGAGGAAAAAAAUCAUAUUGCAAUUUCGGAUGGAAUCGGGAGCCUAAUUUUACCCCAUCUUACCCAACACUUGAGAGACAAUGUGUAUUCAAGGUCAAGUUACAUGAUUACUGAACAAAUCUGCAUAAAAAUUAAGCCCGUGGACAUGAUUAGAUAUUAAAUACGCUAAUUUGAUUUAAUCUUGAGCCAAAUCGAGAAUUUAAUUAUGCUUAAGAAUUAAUUUGGGUCCAAUUAAAGGAUUUAAUUAGGUGCAAGGUCUGAAUUAUAUGUUAAAUGGGUCAAAUUAAUUUUAUUAGGGGUUUAAUUGGUGAAAAACUAAGUUUAGGAGCCCAAUUUGAGCAUAAUUGAGAAGAUUAGAAUUUUAGUAGAUCAAAUUUAAUUUUUACCAAGUCAAUUGGUUCAAAUCAAGGGUAGAAUUGUAAGAAAAUUAAAGUUUUAGGGUCAAUUAAGGGCUAAAUUGAAGAAAUCCACAGUCAAUAACCUUU